GAGGCGACGACUCCCACGCUCCCACCCCCACCCCUCCCAAAAAAAGGGUUUGCCCUAACUUCUCACUCCUGCGGCGGUGCGGCCCUGCCAUCGACCCCUGCGGCGGUCUCCCUCUUCCCUUCCGGCCGCUCGCCGAACGCCAUCGGAAGGCCUCCUCUUCAGAAAUCGAAGAUCGAAGAUCGGGUUCUUCACUCUUCAGAAAUCGAAACCCUCCUCGUCGCCUCUUCCUCUUCCGCUUCCGCUUCCGCUUCCUCUCCCGCUUCCGCUAUCCAACGAUAGAUCAGUAACCGGGUGGUUCUUUACAAACCCAGGUAGGUACGAUUUGAGUUUUUUUCAUUCUUCAAAGAAAAAGUUGGAAGCUUUUAGUCAUCUGAUGGAUACUAGUUUUAUACACAAGUGGCUGAGUGCUUAAUUGAAUGUGUCCAUUCUCUGUUAUGCACAAAGAAGACCCAAACAUAGUGCGAAAUAAAUAAUCUUAAUUAACUUUGGGACCAGGAACUCUUGUAUUAUACCUAAUCAAUUUCAUGAUCUUUCUCGACUCUUGCAAAAGGAAAAUUUUGUUGGGGUCUUUCAUGGACCAUUGACUCACUGGGGUUUCUACUUAAUUUUUGAAACAUAACUUUGGGACCAGGUACUAUUUGAGUUUUCAUUCUUCAAAGCAAAAGUUGGAAGCUUUUACAUUUAAAUAUGGACUAUCUUGACCUCUUAUUUGUGCUAAUAGCAUAAAUCUUGAGAGGAAAAAAAUUUAAUUUAAUAGCCGAAUUUUUGAUCCCGAAUUUUUAAUUGGUGAACGAAUAAUAUCCGUAUAAAUCACGUAUCCGAAUAAUUGGCGAAUCCGUUUUCUAGCCGUUUUUUUCAACGAAUUUAAAAAUUAGAAGACGAAUUUUAUCCGAAUUAUACCCGUAUCGAAUUUUUGCCGAAUCCGAAUUAACUAACUAUGGUUUCAUCUUGGCCCUCAAACAUUUUAAUUAUAUCACUAAUCUAGUCCAUUUAUUUCUCAUGUCUCGCAAACCUGUCGACUAGGAGUGUAAUGUGGACCCUGCCGGGCCGGCAGGGUCCACAUUAGCUGGCCGAAUCAGGCUAAGGGUCGGCCUGGCCCGACCUGGUUUUAAAUUUGUGCCAGACCGUGCUGGGCCAGAGCUACCAAGCCUCUGAGCCAGCAUGGCUCUUAGGCCUAGAAGGCACGGGCCGUGCCGGGCCGAACGGUUCUCCGGACCGGCCCCUCAAAAUUUUUAUUUUUAAAAAGCAUGUAAAAUUUAAAAUAUAAACAAUAAAAUUAUUUCUAUUUAAAUCAAUAUUUUAAUUGAAAAGUUAAAAUUUAUAAAAAUAAUUAUAAAAUAACAAAUAUAUAAAUUAUUUUGAAAAAUAUAUAAAUUUUUUUUUUAAAAAAAAAUUGAGAUGGUUUUUGGUCGCUGGCAGACCUCGAGAGAAGAGCUCCGGAAGAGAAGGGCCUUGUUGGCCCGGCUGGCACGAACCAAGUAGGUCGUGCCGUGUCGGGCCACGAGACUCUCCUCGGCCUGGCACGACCCAUGCCCAUUUUGGCCCUGGCUGUCGGGCCUAGGGGAAGAGACCCAGCACAGCCCGAAAUUAGGCGAAAACCUGUUGUCCUGGCGAGUUUAGAACAACAUAUGAUAAUGGCAGCUCAAAUCUGCAGAAAAAGAUUGACUUAGGGUUAAAGUUACUAUGCUUUUAGAAGUACAGGAGAGUUGGUGUUUCCAACUCUUCGGCCUUUCGAUCAACCCUUUUAAUCAUUUCUGAUCUUUGGAUUAAUAUUAUUAUCCCAUGGGGACCACUCAAUUCUAGAAAAAUCACUAUCAUCCCAACGCUAUAAUUCUUGAUCCAAGGUCAAAAAUUUAGAAGCACUAACUCUCUUAUGCUUUCGAAAACAUAGUAGCUCUACACCCUAAGAUAUCCAAAAAUAAAUACAAUAAGAUCGGGAAAGUUUCUAAGCUAUAUCAUAUGUCUUCAUUAGGAUAGAGGUACUCUCCAAAGAAGCUCUUCAACUUGGUCGCGCAAAUUUGGUAGCUUCUCAGGACACACAUCACAAAUGUCCUGAACAAAUUGAAACAAUUGAUAGUCAACUGCUUUGUUCUUUGCCCAUUCCCAAACAACAAAAGCAAAAGAAUAACGAAAUUUAAACGAUAUAAGAAUAGCCCCUAGCUUCACAAAUUUUUAAAACUUCUCAUCGGUCUCGUAGUUGUCGGUAGGGGUGUCAACGAGCCGAGCUUGAGCGAGCUAAGGUCGGCUCGUGUUUGGCUGGUUUCAUAAACGAUAUGAGCUUGCUCGUUAAAAUAUCGAGCCAAAAAAUUCAGUUCGUGUUCGGCUUGUUUAUUAAUAAGCCGAAUACGAGCUGGCUCACGAACAACAAGUUAAAAGAUUAGAAAAAAUAUAUAGAGGGAAUAAAUUUAUGAUCUCUUAUCCAUUAAACAUUAGUACAUAUAAAUUAGUCUUUUUAUAAUUGUGUUGGGCUCUAUAUUUAGAUUGGACUAAAAAUCAAAGAAUGAAAAUCUGUAUUAUAUAUAUAAUUAUUUAUUUAUAUAUAUAAAUAUAAAAUAUAUGAACACGAGUUGAGCUGUUAUCGAGCCGAACACGAGCAAGCUGACGUCAGCUCAUGUUCGGCUCGUUUAUUAACCAAACUGAAAAAACUCAGCUCGUUUACUAAACGAGCGAUUCGAUCUCGAGCUCAUUUCAAGCCGAACACGAGCUGACUCGCGAACGGCAAGCUGGAUUGCCACCCCUAGUUGUUAGCAUCCGAACCCCAGCUUAGUAGUUCUAGUUAUGCAAAUACAAAAUAGGGUGGCCUACAAUAAGCUCAUGUAUUACUAUCUGUAAUCAAAGCAAACAACUAAAUGAUGUGUUUGGAGACUCCAUAAACUUUGACGUAUUCGUCAAAGCCACUCAAAACUCCGAAAUUUAGAAUGCGUAGCUGAUCAUGUGGCUGUGAAACGCAACUUUUUACCCUCUUAGUAUCUGUAGUCCUUUUCUACUACAAUAUGUACAUACGAAGCAUCCAAACAGGACCAAAUAUGAACAUUAUUGACAGAAAAGUAAGAAUUUUAUAACUCAAUAAUUCGAAAGUAAUGAAUAAUAGCAAACGGAAGCUAAGAAUAUUCACCUUGGAGAAAUUUGAGGUGCAUUGUACACGAAUCAGAUAAUACCACAAUAAAGAACCCAACUUCACCAAUGUAGAACAUCUGAUAAUAUGCAACUAGCUUUCCCUAGUAGCCAAAUGCGAAUUCACCAAUAAUCACUGCAAGAACAACCACCGUCUUUACACGAUUCCACCAAACAGACCCUUGUUUUCAUACUUGUUUUCAUACGAUUUCAUCGAAGGGACCCUUAUUUUCAAAAUUUUUUUAUUUUGAGAUGAGCCAGUAAUAAUAUAUUUUAUAUGAUUUCACUGAAUAGACCCUUAUUUAAUUGUGCCUUGAACAAAACUAGAGACUUGGAAAAUUUCACUGGAUACUUACCUACUAAACAAUUUGAACGCAACCAUUGGACCAUUGCACCGUAAACAGACUCCAAAAUAUAUAUAAAAAAUAAAAUUUUAAAAGUAUAAUAAAUUAUUAAAUAUUUUAUAUUAUAUUAUAUUAUGUUUUACUGUUUAAUCAUCAAACACUCCAUUAAUUAUAUAAUACACCUUGUGGUGCGUGAAAAAUUAAUAUGCACCAAGUACAAGCAAAAAUUUCUCCACUCUUUUCUGAGUGCUAAAGCCAUCAGUAAGUGAGGGAUUCCCACAUGCAUAAUAAACAUUUUGGAUGUGUCCAUUGCAUUGUAAGCCUAUUAUAAAAUAUGCAUAAAAAAUAAAAUUUCAAUAGUAGAAUAAAUUAUUUAAGUAUUUUUAUUAUAUCAUCUUUUAUUUUACAGUAUUAUUCAUCAAAUACUCCACCAAUCAUAUAAUAUUUUGUGCAGUAUAUAAAAAAUUAAUAUACACCAAGUGUAAAAAAAAAUUUCUCCGCUUUUGGAAUUAUGUACUGAACAUUCUCUGCACCGAGUGUAUUUACGUACAUACAUCUCGUGCUUUACAUUCCUCAAUUGUGAUUUUCAAAUUAAUUCAUGAAAUAUAAUCUAAAUUAUUAGACUAAUAAAUCAGUUAUAUUUAAUUAACUUUCAAUACUGAAACAUUAGUUAUUAUACAAUAUAAGUUGCAGUGUAUGUAGUAAUACGCACCACGUGAAUGCAAUAGUUUCUCUUUUACCGAUCAAUUUUAACAAGAUAAAGACACCUUCACCUAUACUUGCCCAGCGCGAGCCCUUUAUUAACGUCGCAUCCAACUCCCUCGCCUCAUCAAUUCGAGCCUCCAAAAGCAAAACCCUGUACACCUUUUCCCUCAACCGUCCGUCGAUCAGGAUCCGAUCCAGCGCCAUCUCCCUCAGAGCCCUUUGGGCAUCGAGCAUCCUCCCGAACCUGCAAAACCCUCCGAUGGCGAUCUCAUACGCCUUGUGAAAAAAGUGGAAAAGAAAAACCUAAAAUUAGGCGAAAAUCCGCUGUCCUGGCGAGUUUAGAGGAAGAAUAACGGCAGUUCAAAUUCUGCAGAAGAAGAUUGACUGAGGGCUGAGGGAGGAGACAAUGGCGGCAGGGAAAAGGUUCGAAUCCGAUACCUUAAUACCGUCGUCUGUAUCCAGUGUAAAAUGACCGUAAAUUCCUGCAUAUAACAACAUCAAAAUAAUCCAAAAGAUAUCCAAAAAUAAAUGCAAUAAGAUCGGGAAAGUUUCUAGACUAUACUGAGAGCUAAGUUGUUUGGGAACUACAAAAAGCACCGACCAUUCCCGUCAAGACGAUUACAUGUCUUCAUUAGGAUAUAGGUACUCUUCAAAGGAGCUCUUCAACUUGGUCCUGCAAAUUUGUGUAGCUUCUCAGGACACACAUCGCAAAUGUCCUGAAUAAUAAAUUGAAACGAUUGAUAGUCAACUGUUUCACAAAUUUUUUAAACUUCUCAUCAGUCUGGUAGUUGUCAGUAGGAGUAUCAACGACCUGAGCACGAGCGAGCUAGGGUCGACUCGUGUUCCACUUGUUUCAUAAACGAGCCGAGCACUAGCUGGAUUGUUAAAGUACCAAGCCUAAAAAUUCAGCUCGUACUCGGCUCGUUUAUUACGUGAGCGGUUGGAUCUCAAGCUCAUUUCAAGCCGAACAUGAGCUGGUUCGCGAACAGCGAGCUAGAUUGCCACCCCUAGUUGUCAACAUCCAAAUGCCAGCUUAGUAGUCCUAGCUCCGCAAAUACAAAACAGUGGCCUACAAUAAGCUCAUGCAUUACUAUCUAUAAUCAAAGCAAACAACUAAUGAUGAGUUUGGAUACUCCAUAAACUUUGACUUAUUUGUCAAAGCCACUCAAAACUCCCAAGUUUAAAAUACGUAGCUAUGCGUCUGUGAAAUGCAACUUUUUACCAUCUUAGCAUCUAUAGUCCUUUCCUACUACAAUAAGUACAUACAAAGCAUCCAAACGGGACCAAAUAUGAACAUUAUUGACAGAAAAGUAAGAAUUUUAUGACUCGAUAAUUUGAAAGUAACGAAUAAUAGCAAAGGGAAGCUAAGACUAUUCACCUUGGAGAAAUUUGGUGCAUAGUUCACAAAUCAGAUAAUACCAUGAUGAAAUAUUGUAUACGGACCCACGUAGUAUCCUUCUCUGCUUCAGCCACCGGAAGAAUUUCCAAUGUAACCAGUGACAUGAUAUGAUAUAUAACGAAUUCUUUCCAACGAAUUUCUAUUGUAACCAGCACUUACGCAUCAUCUCUCACGUCAAAUAACCCAACUUCACCAAUGUAGAAGCCAAAUGCAAAUUCACCAAUAAUCCCCACAAGAACAACCACCGUCUCUAAAAUGAUGAAAACGGGUAGUGUCCCUCAAAAUUAUGUCCCGCUCCUCGAUCUUUGAAAUGAACUUGGCAGCGUUGUGGCAAUCCCCGCAUACCCUAAGGUUCUUGAACACUCUUAGGGUAGUCCCAGGUGAUGUACUAAUCAGCCCAAAAGCAAUAGCAAGCUUCUCGCUGUGCCUCAUCAGCAUCAGUUCCUUCAGUUCCUCCCCCACAUCUUGCAAUACAUAAUUUAAAUUGGGCACGUACCCCAUUUGUUUCAUCCUCGUCGCUAACUUGGACAAUUUUUCAUGGAUCAAAUCGAGCUGAGAGUGAACCCUAUCGUUCGACCUGAACUCAUGCAUUACACCUUUUAUCUCAAUCCAGCUAUAUCCAGGGUUUUUCACUACCUCAUUCUCCUUCAUCAACUUUCUAACUCUGGAUACAUCGCACCACCGAUUCACCGCGGCAUAAAGAUUGGCCAACUGGACAUAAGCCCCUGCACCUUGUGGGUCCAACUCAAUCAGCUUUUGAGCGGCAAACUCCGCGAAUUCCAAAUUCUUGUAGGUCCUACAAGCACCCAAUAAGGUUCCAUAGACCGCGGGGUACGGUUUAAACGGCAUUGAACGGAUCAAUUGAACAGCUUUCGCAAGUGAGCCGGCUCGGCAGAGAAGAUCGACCAUGCAAGAAUAAUGGUCGGGCUGUGGCUCAACAUUAUAAACGUUCUUCAUCGACUCAAAGCAUUCGAUCCCGUACUCGACCAGCCCUGCAUGGUUGCAAGCAGAUAAAACUGCCACAAAGGUGAUCCAAUUCGGCUCAACUCCCUCUCCCUUCAUUUUCUCGAACAAAUCUAGAGCUUUAACUCCGUACCCAUGUUGCGCAUACCCGGAAAUCAUUGCAUUCCAUGCAACGACAUCUUUCCUAUGCAUUUCACCGAACAGCUUACAUGCGUCCUCCAAAUCCCCACACUUACAAUACAUGCUGACCAGAGAAGUCCCAACCGUCGUAAUCAGACCAAGGGGCAACUUCGAAACGAAUUGAUGGAUCUGCUUUCCCAAACCCAAAGAUGACAAAUUGCUGCAACCAAGCAGAGCACUGCUCAAAGUAGACGCAUUUGGCCGCACCCCAAGAGCUCCUGCCAUCUUCUUGAAGAGCAUUAAUCCAUACUCCGAUCGCCCGUUCUUAACAUAACCGGCAAUCAUGGCAUUCCAAGAGACCAAAUUCCUAACGGGCAUUCUAUCGAACAUCUCCUCCGCCUUGUCAACCGCCCCAGCGUCCAUGUACCCGGACACCAUCGCGGUCCACAAAAUCACAUCGUCCCGAUCAGGAGCUCGACUAAAGAGCUCCUCAGCGGAGGCCAUAUCGCCGGCGCGGGAAAAUCCGGAGACCAUGGCGUUCCAAGAGACGGAGUUCCUGCGGGGCAUUUCAUCGAACAGCUUGCGGGCGUCGCCGAUGGCGCCGAGUUUGGAGAGGCCGGAGAGCAUGGUGUUGUAGGAGGCGAGGUCGCGCGCGGGCAUGGCGGCGAAGAGGCGGCGGGCGCCGGCGAGGUCGGCGGCGGCGAGGUGGCAGGCGAGGAGGGUGUUGAAGGAGACGAGGUCGGGGCGGGGGAUGAGGGCGAAGAGGCGGUGGAGGAGGAGGAGGAGGAGGAGGUGGGGGUUAGGGUUAGGGUUGGGAAAGAGGGAGAGGAGCAUGGUGGGGACGAAGACGAUCUCAUUGGAACGUUAUAUGGAGAUGCAUGCUCGUAUUCGCAUAAAAUAAAUUUAAAUUUCAAUAUAAUUUAAAUUUAUAUUUAAAUAUUAUAUUUUAAUAAUAAUAUAAAUUAAUAUGUAUAUAUAAAUACGAACUAAAAUUAGCAAAUAAGACACAAGUAAAAUUUAAAAUUUACCUUCUUAUUUAUCUAAAUUUACUUUAAAAUUCAAAAUAUAUUAAGAUUUGGUGAUUUACGAUGAAAUAAAAUAUUAACAACAUCAGAAAAUCAAAAAACACCAUGAAACACUUAAAAAAUUAUUCGUUUUAGGAAAAUUUAAACUUCCCCAACUUGAGCACUACCUGCAUUUAAGUUUCCUCAUUUUGAACAUGCACUUGACAUGUCCCAUCCUUCACAUCAAUAAACCGAUUAUAUAUCUCCCAAAAAGAUUGGGAGUGUUGGAUCUCUCGCGUUAAGUCGCAAAUUAUUAAUUUCAAAAAUUCGAGCUCUAAAAAAAAUAUAUAAUCAAUUUAUUUAUAGAGUACAGAUGCACCAUUUAUAGAUUUUAAUUGUGAUUUGAUUCAAUCCAACCUUUGCUAGGACGGUCAGCAAGCUGAACGCGAGCAAGCUGGGGCUCACUUGUUUUCUGCUCAUUUAUCAAUCAAACCGAACACGAGUUGGCUCAUUAAAAUAUCGAGCUGAAAAAUCUAGCUCAUGUUCAAUUUAUUUAAAAAAGAGCCAAAUACGAGCCGGCUCCCAAACAGUGUUUGAUUGUCAGCCCUACUACUGGGUAAAAAGUUGAAGAAAAAAAUAAAACUUUCAUUUAUAAAAAUUUAUAAAAUAUAGAUUUUUUUUAAAAGUUGAGAGUAUAUAUUCCAGGUAUAUCAAGCCGAAUAUGAACAAGGGUCGACCCAACUCGCGUUUGGCUUGGUAAGAUUUCAAGUUGAAAAAUUCAGCUGGUGGUCAGCUCGUCGACUCGUUUAUUAAACGAGCCAAUUAGCCUCAAACUUUUUUCAAGCCAAAUACGAGCUAGUUUGCAAACACCGAGCUAAAUUACUAGCCCUAACCUCUGCUGUAUAGUUCGCAGACUUUUCGUUGUGACUCGACCCGAUCUAAUCUCCGCUGCAGAAAUGCUUGUUCUUUUAAGCAAACGAAAAGGAAGAUAUACCAAUUCACUCAAUCAGAGAAUAAUGCUUUGAUUCCUUAUUAAGUGUAAAGUGCUCCUAUCACCUUGAACUAGCAUCUUAAUCAGCAUGUAUGUAUGAAGUACAUAACAGGAAAUAAUUGAUGUAACAACUACAUCCCAAAUGAGUCAACAAAAAAGAAAUAAAAACAAACAGCAUAAAUAAUAUAUCCUUCCUUCCACAAUUAGCAAUUAAUUAUUGCAUGAACCUAAUCUACAGCAAAACUUAUUUGAUGUCAUAUUAUUCAAAAAAAUCAAUCUAAUUAAAAAUGUGUUAGAAAUUAAUAGUUUUUAACUUAACACAUGAAUAAGAUCAAGAAUCCUUGCCCUUAACUUAAUCUUUUUUUUGGGCAUCAACCACAUUUUGUCCUAGUUAAAAUUUACAAAAUAUAGGUCCUUUUUAUAUUUGAAUUGACCUAAAAUGCAAAUAGUAAUAAUUUGUAACCUUAGCUCGUGCAGAACACGAGCGAACUAACCGUGUUCAACUCGUUUAUUUAAACAAACGAUCGAUCUCGAGCUCAUUUUAAAUUGAAUACAAACUGACACACGAAUAGCACUCUAGAUUGCCAGCUCUAUUCUCAUUCCACCCUAAAAUUAAAAUAAUCUAAUUCAUUAUGACCAAAUUCACUUUUGAAUUCUGAAUUGGUCCAUUCCGAAAAUAAAAACAUCUCUCAAAACCCUCACGCACUAAUACCUCUCCCUCACGUCCCUUCAUCACCCUUCUCUUCCUUAACCAAAACACUCACUCAAAAUUUUAGAUGUCUCAAUUAAUGCGUUUCGAUUUUUAUUCUAAUGAUAAAUCAAACAUUAUCAAAUGAUUUUUCGUUCUCAUUCUAAUCAUGGUUCAAACAUGCCCUAAAUAUUAUACAUAAUCCAGAGUACAAAAGUUUCUAGCAUAUUCUUGAUCCGACCAUUCGUCCAAAAUGUAUUAUUUGAUCUCUAUCGUUAAAUAAAAAAAAUUUUAGUUGGUGUGCAGAUAUUUACUGACCACAAGUUAUUUGAACACUUACGAACCCAAAGUCACCUGCGAUCCUCCAAGUGUCCUCCUAGUCCACAGGCCACGUGGCAACCGGGUCUCCUAAAAAAAUGAAAAUUUUCUUAAAAGAGUCACUAUCACUCGGUGUGCAGACAUUUAGGCUAUGUUUGGUUGGGGGUUAAAGGUGGAAUAAAUAGUUUAUUCCACCUUUAUCUUCCAAACACACAAAAAAUUUAGUAGGAUCACACUAAUUCCGACAUUAACGUGCUAUAUUAGAAUAGCCUGUUAAGGGAUGGGACACCCCAAGGUGGAACAAACUGGGAUAACCUAGCUUGUUCCACCUGUGGAUAGAGAGAGAUAGAGAGAGAUAGAGAAUUUUUAAUUUAUUAUAAAAUUUAAAUUUCGUAAGUUCAAAAAUUAAAAUUUAUAAUUUUUAAAAUUAUAGAAUUAAAAAUUUAAAUUUUAAAUUAUUUAAUUUUAAAAUUUAAAAUUUGAUAUUUUACUUUUUUUUAUAUUUAGAAUUUNUUUUGUAUUUUUAAAUUAAAAUUUCAUCUUAAAUUUAAAGUCUAAAAUUUAAAAUUUUAAUUUUUUAAAAUUGUAAAUUUGAGAUUUUAAAUUCUAAAAUACAAAUAUAAAAUAUAAAAAUUUAAAUUUUAAUAUAAAGAAAGGAAUAAUAUCAUUAUUUUUUAUCUAUAACUACCAAUUUUAAUUUUUAUUCCAUCUUAUAUAACCAAAUGCUAUUUUUUUUUAUUCUCAGUAAUAAUUCAAUUUUCAUCCAAAUGCAAAAUUAAUCUAAUCCCCGCUUAUAUCUCAAUUUAUAUCCAUUCCUGUAAUAACCACUUUUUGUUUAUUUUUCCGAAUCAAACGAUAGCUUACUGACCGCAAGUUGGUUGAACACUUAUGAACCCAAAACCACCCGCGAUCCUCCACGUGUCCUCCUGGUCCACAGGCCACGUGGUGGACCGAAUCCACUGAAAUGACGAAACCAUUUCCUAAUAAGAGUCACAAGCUCGCUCCUCAAAAUGCUCCACGUCUUCCUCGCAUUUACUCCCCCCCUUUUACUAACACUUGGCCUCCUCUUUACGUCUCCCCUUCCUCUCCGUCCUUGUCCUCCUCCUCCUCUUUUGUUUCAUUCAAACAAAAGAAAAAAAAAAAAAACGACACUGCAUCUCUUGUUUCAAUCAAUGAAGAAAGAGGAGCUCGACUUUGUGCUCGUCCCGAUCGGCCUCGCGGCAAUGGCCGGGUACCACCUCUGGCUGCUGCGCCGCGUCCUCCGCCGCCCCACCACCACCGUCAUCGGCAUCAACUCCAUCAAUCGCCGCAUUUGGGUCCAGACGAUGAUGGAGGUCCCUCCUCUCUCUGUCUCAUCUUAUUUUAUUCAAUCCAAUUUAUAAUAUAUCUGUCUUUUAUUUUAUUUUUUUUCUGUUUAAUAUAAUAUCAUAAGUCUAUAUUUUCGGUUCUUUCAAAUUAUUUUUUAUAAUGAAACUUGUCUAUCUCGCAUUAUCUUUUUAUUUUAUCUAACCUAAUUUAAUCCAAUUUAUGUUACACUUGCAUUUUAAAUGUUUUACUAUUUAAUAUUAUAAUGUAUUUUCAAAUUAUUUCGAUGAUGAGAUAUCUGAUUUAGGCGUAGUUUGGUAUUAAGAUCCAUCUAACAGGUAGAAAAAAAAAUAUAUAGGAAUGUACUUUUGCGUCAUCAUAAUAUGCGGAAUGUAAUAUUACGUACGAAAAUAAAUAAGAGUAUUUUUUCAUCAUACUUUCUCACCGCAUGCAAUGUAAUUUUCUCGCAAUCCCAAACGAAGUCUUAGUGAUCAGCUUUUAUGCUGUUAUAAUUAUUUAGAUAUCAAAUUUUAUAAUUUUUCGAUAUUAUUUGCUAGAUAAUCAGAGGUCUCUAAAAUGAGUAUUUAUUUUAUUGGUCGAUGUGACAUAUAUUUUAAGAUGUAACUAUUAAAAUUAGAUAAAAGUUUAAUAAAAAAUUCUGCUACCGUCAAAAGCAAGAUAAAUAAUUUCGAUUUGAAAUUUAGAUCUCUUCUUACUAUUUUUAAAAAAAAUUAUUUUCAGUCGAAAAUAAUUUAAUUUGAAAGAGACCUUUGCACUGUUAAAAGUAUAAUAGCCUAACCCAUAUUAUAAUAUUAGUUAAAUAAAUUUUUUUAAAAAAUCAAUCUCUAUAUAAUUAGCGUUUUUGCAUAAUAACAUUAACUUACUAUCUUUCUAAUCUAAUUUGUAAUAUCAAAUAUUUUUUAUCUUUUAUAAUUUGGAAAAUAUGUACAGAGUCAGAAUGGUAUCAGCGUUUAAAUAAAUUUGUUUUUUUUUUUUUUUAAUGUUACUGCAAGAUCUUAAAAUGAUGAUUUAUGUAGUUCAAAAGUAAUAUUAACUUAAAAAAAGUUGUAUAAAAUAAUCAAAACUAACAUAUUUUUAAUAUUAUAGAUAACAAAAUAAAGUAACAAAUAGUUCACUAAAUUUUAAUUUUAUAAUAUUAGUUAAAUAUUAUGUUUGAAAUUUUUAAUUUAUAUCUAUAGUGAGCACUCAAACACACCCACAAAGUGUUUGAUCCAACGACUCCCUCAAAAUUUAGGUGAUAUGUAAAGUAUACACCCGAAGACGCCCACAAAGUGUUUGAUCAAAUGACUCCCCUGAUCUUUGAAUCCUUGUGUUGUUAUUGUUUGCGCAGGACCCGUCGAAGAACGGCGUCCUGGCGGUGCAGACGCUGCGGAACAACAUCAUGGCGUCGACGCUCCUGGCGUCGACCGCCAUCAUGCUCAGCUCGCUCAUCGCCGUGCUCAUGACGAGCCACAGUGGGGGCGGCGGCGGAGAACAAGAGUUUGUUUUCGGGAACACGAGCGGUCUCGUCCGGUCGAUCAAGUUCUUCGCCAUCUUGGUCUGCUUCCUGCUUGCCUUCCUGCUCAACCUGCAGUCGAUACGGUACUGUAAAACAACCGUUUUUCUCUAAAAACUUAAGAUAACUAGGGAAGAGUGUUUUUGGUAUGUCAUUUUCAAUACAAUUUAUUCAUGGAAUUAAGUCGGAUGCAUGAAUUGAGGGAACAUUAGAAAUGCAAUGUAGUUCAAGAUAUAUGCAGUUGCAAAUGCUCCAGUACCAUCACCUCAUGUAUCUUAUUCGAUUGGAUGAUAUAGAAAAUCUAUUUGGCUGCAUGACCAUGAACUGUAUUUCUAAAUUUUUAUUUCUUUAUACAUAGAGUGGUGUGAUUAAUUCUAAGUAGAUUAUGAGAUUAUCCCUAUGUAGAAAUAUAAAUAUUUUUUCAUUCACAAGGUGAUUAGAUAGGGAAUUUGUCCUUUUGUUUAAAAUGUCUAGCAAGUUGCUGCUGUAGUUGAAAUUAUGGCCAAUUCAAGCGUAGAUUAAAUUCUUGUAGUUGAGUCUCCUCGUAUUGUAUAGUAUCUAAUUGCCUUUACAUCUCCUUGUUGCAUGUAUGCAUCUCAUUGUGACACCCCACUUUCCAGUGGGUCAUCUAUUCUAACUUUUUUAGCCUUACCAUGCUUAAUUUUUUUAACCUCUUGAGUCUAGCUACCGCCCAAAGUGCUAUAGUCAAAUUAGGAGAUUUAGUUCUAUUACAUUUUAUAUAUAGUAAUAUGACACCUCAGAAUUUGGAAUAGUCUUAUAUAUAAGAUAUAAAAGGGCUAACUCUCUUAAUUCGAUUAUAGCAUUUUGGACGGUGGUUAGACUCAGCAGUUUAAGAGGGUUAAGUGUGUUACAGUUAGAGUAAUUCUAGGUUGGGUGACUCUUUGAAAAGUGGGGCAUUACAUUCAUCCUAGUUAACUUUGUGCAAUGCGAGAUGGUUGUAGAUAUAUUUUGUUUGUUUGGAUGGAUACAAAUAACGUGGUACGUACUAUAGAGUUCAAGAUGCACGUAUCCGAAAAUGCUUAGCUCUACGGAGUUGGAGGUACCGUAGUUGCAAGUUGCAACUACUUUUGUUUGUAUUUGUAUCUGAUUGAAACUUGCAUUUUCAGCUCAUGUCAUUUGUCAUGUCGAAUAUCUGUAACUACUGUUUAGAGAACGGUGUUGUAAUAUUUUAUGCUUCUUAGCGCAGGUACUACAGCCAUGCGAGCAUCCUGAUCAACGUGCCGGUGCGGGCGCGGCGGCACCGGGGGACGGCUGCGGAGUACGUGGCGCGGGCGGUGAACCGGGGCAGCUACUUCUGGUCACUGGGGCUUAGGGCCUUCUACUUCUCCUUCCCCCUCUUCCUGUGGGUGUUUGGGCCCAUCCCCAUGGUGGGGUGCUGCUUAUUCUUGGUGGUCACUUUGUAUUACUUGGAUGUGUACAAGGAGUGGGAGUUAGGGGUUGGAGGAGAAGAGGAGAAAGGGGGAGAACAGUGCUGAUGCGGAGGACACAUGGCGGGUUUUGAUUGGUGGUAACCCGAGUUCAAUGCCUUGUUGAAUUUGGGUCAAUGCUAGAUGACUUAAUAAAUAGAAAUUAAAAAUAAAAAUGUAUCAAAGCUUAUUUGAACUAUAUGAUUCGAUUUUCUAAUCUUUCCAAAUUUUAAUUUUAAUGUCUAAACUUUUAGCUUGUUUAAUUUACGCCAUUUAAUAGCUAUUCUGGUACAAAUUCAAUUCAUGUAGCUUAAAUUUUGUUGCAUAUUCAAAAUUUAAAAUUAAAGAGUCAAUAACUAGCUCAAAUAAAAUAAAUUAGAAGAUUAUGCAACAAAAUCAAUAUUUUUAAAUAUUAGAUAGUAGAUCAAAAUGGGUGAUCGUUGAGAUAAAUUUCACACAUUUUUACCUAGAAUAAAUUAAGUCAAUGUUUACAAUUAUAGAAAACAAAUAAAUAAUAAUCCUUUUAUAGUUCAGCGUAUAUUUUUUACUUUAUUACUCUUUAAUUGAAAAAAUUAUACUCAAUUAAUUCAUAGUUUUAUUUUUAUUUCACAUAAAAACUAUCGCCAAAUAGGAUAUUAAAGUGAUAUUUUUUAAAAAUCACAUGAUGACAUAAUAUAUUAUUUCAUCAUUUUAUAAUUUGCACAUUGCAAUGUUAUGGUUUUCCUGAAGUAUUAUUUUGCUGCAUCUUUUAAUAUAGAUUGUUACAGUGAGAUGAAAAAAAAAAAAUCAUAGGAUAUUUAGGGCGUGUGAAGGAUUUAUAUAUGAUGGGUAUACUAGAACUAAUACCUUGGGCUUAAAUAUUUUGAAUCUGUGGUUUGGACCCAAUAAAUUAUUAGAGCUAGUGAAUUGGAUCGUUAUAGUCAUUGUCCGGUAGUUUUAGAUUGUGUUUGGUAAGACUGACGAGAACAUUAAGGGCGUGUUUGGUUCGAAGUCGGAGUCGGAAUCGGUAUAGGAAUCAAAAUAAGUCGGAAUCGGAAUCGGAAUGACUCAUUGCCUAAUUCUGUUUGGUUCAUCACCUGAAUCGGAAUCGGAAUAAAACAUUCCCACUAUCGGUGUUUGGUUCAGGUGGAUAUAAAAAACAUAAUCAAAUUAAUAUACUAACAUUAUCUUUCUAAUAUAUUAAUUUAAAUUCAAAUUAAAAAUUAAAUAUUAAAAAUUUACAUCAAAAUUUUGAAAUAAUGUCAAAAUUUUAAAUCUAUUUGUUUUUAAAAAAAUUAAACUUUGAAAUUGAGUGGAUAAUUCAAAAUAUGAAACUAAAUUUUAAUUUAUUCAAAUUCAAACUUAAAAUUACAAUUUAAAUUUUAAUUUGAAUUCAUAAAUUUAAUUUAAGUUUGAAAUAAAAUUUGAAUAAAACUUUAUAUAAAUUAAAAUUUAAUUUAAAUUCAAAUUCAUAAGUUAGAUUCGAAAUACUUGAUUAAAUUUUAAUUUUUAAUUUAAGUUCAAAUUAAAAUUGAAAAUUAUAUAUUUAAUUUUUAAAUUUUAACUCAUAUUUUAAUUAAAAAAGUUGAAAAAAUAAAUUUAAUCCGAAUAAAUAUCCUCCGUCCGGAUUCAACUUCCAAUCCAACCUCCUAAGCCGAAAAAAGAGGAGAUUGAGGGAUUCCCAUUCCACUCGGGAAUCGGAAUCGGAAUGGGACUGCCGCAUAACAAACACACACAAACGGAUUCACUCAUUCCGAUUCCAGAGUGAAAAUAAAGCGAACCAAACACGCCAUGUGUUGGCAUAUAUAAUAUUGAAUACUAUGUAAUCGGUUGAUAUAUACCUCCAAUUUAAAAUACCAUGAAAAAUUAUCUAAUGUAAUAUCUAAAUAAUUCGCAGAAGACUCCGAACCCAAUGCUAUUCCCAAAUAGAAAUGUAUAUAGAACAGUAGAAUUCAAUCUUAUUGAAGUAGAGCUAAUCAUAUAUUUUUUUUUCUAGAGCUAAAUUGCUUCUUUAAUUAGUAAAGAUAUAUAUGCGGAGAAUCAUACUUUCGGUCUCUUAAUUGAUGAUUUUGAAUGCUAAUCAACUGCAUUAGACAAUGACGAUAAAUUAACUGAAAGUUUUUAGGUUGGAGUGCGUACAUANCAAAGAUCACUUAUCGCAGUGCUCAGCAGAUGAACAAAGAAAAAAGAAAAAGGAAUUUUUUUUAUAAAUGAUUUUAUUGAUUUUUAUUAUUAUUUAAAUAAUUUUUUAGUAAAUAAUUAUUAUAAAAAUAAAUCUCUAAUAUACUAUAUUAAAUUUUUUAAAAAAUAAAUAAUAUAAGCGGUGAAUGAAUCACCGCAUUUAAAUGUGGUGAAUUAUUUACCGUUUUUAUAAUUCUUCUUAAAACUAACAAACUUAUUUUAAAACUAUCAUUAUUAUUUUUUAUGGUACACAUUUUUUAAAAGCAACGAACUAUUCAUAGAUUUCAUAUAUUUUUUUUUCCUUGACACCAACAUGACAAAAUGAAGACUAUAUUUACAAAUAAAAUUUUGACGAACUUAAUUUUAGAAUAAAUUUUUUAAACAAACGUACUAUACUAAAAUCUCCAAAAAAAAAAAAGGAUUUCUGGACAACUAGGCUUAUAGAAUUUUUUUAAAAUUCUAAAAAUAAUCAUAUGAUAUUUUUAUUUAUAAAAAAAUAAAUUAUUUAUUAUUUUUAUUAAAUUUAUAUAUUUUUUGUAUUCAAACUUUAAAAAAUAUAUAGUAUUAAACUCUAAAAUUAAUUUCAGUGUUUUGAAUUAAACGGUUCAAAAAAAAAAGUACACAAAAUACACAAUUCCAACAGAAGAUUCGAGGCCAAAGUUGUGAGCAAAAGUUCUAAAAUUUCACGGGCUUUUGGAAAAAGUGAUAACCUUCAAUUCAAUGUGAGGUGCUCAUAAAUUCUCGCAAAAAUUUACAUAAAUUUUUUAAUAUUAUUAAUUGAUUAAUGUGUCAGCACAGACAAUGUGAAAGCUUUUGAUUAAUUUAUUUCUCUGGUCUAAAAAUAUUAUAUAUUUAUUUAUUAUCACGAUAUAUAAUAUUAUUUCAGAAAUAUUAUUUUUGUGGCAUCUUACUUUUCAGGAUUGUUAUUCAUUUUAAAAUUAAUCCUAACACUCUUAACUCUCUUAUUUUUGGGAUCUAAUUGUUGUCCAAAAUACUAUAAUAAGAUCAAAAGAUUUAGUACUAUUAUAGAACUAUUUCAAAUCUUGGUAGUGUUCUAUUCCUCCCCCCUUUAAGCCCUGACAUACUCGUUAGAUUCGAGCACACUCACAAGUAACAGGUGAUAUGAGAUCGACUCAUUUUGCUAGUCUUGCCGUUCAGAUCUUGACUUAGCUGAGAUUCAUCUCACAGCUUCUGGCGUACUCACAAGCAUAAAACGAUUUGAUACUUGUCUCGCUAGCCUUGUCAUUCAGAUUGUAACCUUAGCCAAAAAUCAACUCGUAGUUCCAACUAGUAAUUGGCUCUGAUACCAACUAACACUGCACUUCUCAGAGGGGGUCACCUACUCUAAAACUACUAAUUUAGCCCCAAUACAUUUAAACCUCUUAACCUCUUGGAUCUAACCAUCAUCUUUAAAAGUUUAAUUUUAUUAUACCUCAUAUAUAGAGUUAUUCUAAAUUUUUAUAUUGUCAUAAUUUUGAAAGGUAAAAAAAUAUAUGUAUAUUUUUUAUGUCCAUAAGGGUGCGUUUGGUUUGAGUUAUGCAGGAUUACAGGCAAUCCUGCCAGGAUAACUGUUUUUGGUUAAUCCGCUAUGUAAUCUAGUGAUUAAUGUAGCAUUACAAAUCAAAUUGGAUUACAUCGAAAAUACUAACGGGAGGGGGGUCGUGUAUCUUGCAUUACUGAAACCCGUUAAUACUACACAUUAUGUAAAAUAACAAUUUUACCCUCCAACAAUCCCAAAUCUAAUUAACAGCAUUAUUUUCAUCUCUCUCUCACCUUCCCCCCUCUCUCUCGCACGCCGCUUUCUCUCGCUCUCUCUCUCUCUCUCGCACGAACACCUAUCAUCUUCUAUUGCGUCGUCCUCCCAGGUAAUCAUUACGAUCUCCUUCCCUCCAUUAGUCAUUUCCGCAAAAAAUAAUAUUCAAAUGACCACAAUAAGGGCAAUUUUGAAAAAAACUAUACUUUUAUGUCAGGAUUACUAAUUUUAUAAACUGAAUCAGACGUAUUAAUGCUAUAAACACUGUAAUCUAGUAUUACAUUACUGCAUUAAACCAAACGCGCUAAUGCAGCAUCAGUAGUAAUCUCACGCCGAAAUCCAAGAUACCUGGAUAUGUCGAGAUACUUUGUAAUAUUACAUAACUCGAACCAAACGGGCCCUAAAGAUAUUCUCAACAAUAAUAUGCUAAACACAUGUCAACAACAUUUUACAUCAACUAUUCAUAGCCAUGAGCCCAACCAAUUAAAAUGUUUUUUUUUUCUCACAUUCUUUAGUAAAUAUCCGACAUCCCCGUCAGGCUCAGACUUACAAAUAUCAGGCGAUGUGAAAAUCACCUCGCUAGCCCAAACCGACCUUGUGCGGAGCCGCGCUCUACCCACAAAAAUACACUUCCAAUUUAAUAUUUAUCAGUGUUCAUUAAAUUUCCUUUAGCAUCUAAUCUGACUGAUCAAAGAAAAUAAUCCAUGAGAUGAUCAUCUCCUACCAAAUUAUAUCUGUCUUUUCUAUCUGAUUCCAAAUUAUUUUACAGUUAGAGAAUAUUUUGUAAAAAUUUAACUUUUGCCAUUAGAAAGGUUGUGUUAUACAACAAAUGCUAAAAUUAUAUAAGAAAGUAAAUAAUAAAUAAUCAGCAUGCUUGGAAAGAAAAAUGAAGCGAUCUUUUUGAUUUAAAAAAACAGAAGUGAGGGAGAAGAGGAAAAAAUUAAAAAAAAAAAGUAACAAAUAUAGGUGAAAAUUUAACUGAGUAUCAAGGGAUAUGCAGGUUGACUUAAAAUUUUUUAAAAAUAUAUAAAUUAUUUUUAAAUUUUACAAAAAUAUACUAGUAUUUAAACUUAUAUAAUUAAACAUAUUUUCUCAAAGAUAACAUGUUAAAGAUAUCCUCCAAAGGGUCUAUUUGUGUAUCAAUAACUAAUUUUCAGAUUAAAAAUAACUUUUAAAUAAACUAAAAUUCAGAUAAAUGUUAUUAUAUCACCACUCUUUAUGCAAUAGGUAAUCAAUAAGUUAAUUUGCAAAUGCUAUUAUUGCUUUUUUUUGUGCUUGUUUUAGUAAAAAUUUUCAUUGUACUAUAUAAGAAGUGAAAAAAAAAUUACAAUUGCUAAUCUUUAAUUUAUUAAUUUUCUAUCUUGUUCUCUUUUGUAAUUAACUUCGUCAUCUUUCUGAAUAAAAUCAAUUAAAAAUUUUUGAUUAAAUAAGAUUACUAAAUUUUUAUUUAUGAUAAAUAAGAUAAAUAAAUAAAUAUUUACGGCUGAAAAUAACUCCAUCUUUUUCGCCAAUAAUUAAGCAAUGGUGAGACCCAUCACCAUUAAUUUCUACACAAAUAGAUAAGAGUAACAUAUUAACAUUACUACAAACUUUAAAUUUCUAAAUGUUUUUUUUUUAAAAAAGACUAUAAUUAAUCUCUCUAAACAAGUACAACAUAUAUACAAGCCACCAAAAUAGAGGGGUGCAAUUAAUUAAUAGGCUAAAAUACAGAAAUUUUUUUAAGAAUAUUUAUUUUUUAUUUUUUUUAUUUUUAAAAAUUUAUAUUUUAUCCUCGUUAAAAUUUAAGAUUAUUUUCAGAGGAUUACCGCGUUAAUAAAGAUGGCGAAAAAACCAAAUUACUCGUGCUUAUUUUUUAAGCAAAAACAAAAGUUUGAUAUUAUUUUGUCAUUUUAAAAAAAUUUUUAAUAUAAAUUAUAAAAAAUGAACAGAAUAAUGAUGACGAAAUUUUGAAAUAGGACUAAAUACACUAACUUAAAAUUUUGAGAGUACAAAAUGUAAACUUUUAAGAGUCCGAAAAAAAAAAAAAAUUUACAAGAGAGUUUUCUAUAUUUUAGCUAUAAUCAGCAACGAGCCAUUGCUGCUGCUGCUGCUGAUGAUGAUGAUGAUGAGAGGAGGGCGCGGGCGAGGGCGAGCUCAUCGGCGAGGGCGCGGAGGUGGGCGCGGUAUUCGCGGGCGGCGGCGGCGGCCUCGGCCUCUAUCUCUCCGAGCUCGGCACAGAGCCGCUCCUCCGCCUCCUCCGCCGCCCGCGCCCGCGCUCGCGCCCGCUCCGCCUCCGCCCGCGCCUCCCCCACCUCCCUCUCCAGCUCCUCGUUCCGCCGCCGCAGCGCCGCCACCUCCGUCGCCAUCGCCGUCGCCAUUUUUAUGAGGUAUAGAAUUGCGAAUUUGCUACAAUUUGCUAUAACUGGGGGUGUGUGAUGAGAAAAUGUGGCUGAGCCUUUGAUGAGGGAAUUGGGGAGGGAAAAGGGAGCUCUAUUUAUAGGAGGGAAAGGUGUCCAGGUUCAAUGAAUCUGGAGAUUGUUUAUGCCAAUGGAUUCGGGUUGGCGGAGUUCUAUCCAGAUCCGCUCAAAACGAAACGGUAAGUGAGAAUAAAAAAAAUAUAAAAAUAUAUAAUCUAUUCUAAAUCUAUUCCGAUUCUCCAAAUAAAUGAAGCAGUAAUUCAUCAAAAAUUCACUCCCAUUCUGACUUGCAUAGAAUGAAGUGGUAUUUCGUUCCGAAUUUGUCCCGACCCGAUCCGCUUCUCGAAUCGUCUCGCUUAUAACCCUAGUGGUGGGACCCGCAUGGCAUGUGUGGUUACUGGGCAUCUACAAUGAUCCGUUUGGUAGCUCGAUGGUGGUGAUAUUAUCUCUAAUGAAGAAAAAAAAGAUAUAUUUUAUUUAAAAAAUAAUUAAAAAAGUAUAAAUUUAUGUUUUGUUUAAAAUUAUUUUUUUUAGCUGCAGUAGUUAAAAUUACAGUCAAUUUGAGUACAGUUUCAAUCACUACAUGCAGUUGAAUACUUUUCUGAAGUUUCAAGUACAGCAGCUAAACUUAAAUGCAUCAAACAAAAUAAAGUUCAAAACAGAACGUGAAGUAACUAAUUCUUAUUUCUACAGAAAUAUAGCAAAAUUAUAUAUUUAACUUUAACUGCUGCAGUAAAAACUGUAGGAGGAGGUUUAACUGCGCAGUUGGAGAGAGUAACUUUAAACAAAAGGUAAACUUACCUCUUUAAUUAUCUUUUAAAUAAAAAAUAUUUUUUUAUAAUUGGGGGUAAUCUCACCAUCAUAUAUAUAUAAUCAUAAAAUUUUAAAAAUUAUUUCUCAAUUGUAUGCAACCAAACAAAUUAUUUAUAGUUACAGCGCUUUCUACUACAUUCAACCAAAUAGAAUAUAUGUAAUUAUAAUUUCUGUAUUUUCAACUGUAUUCAUCUCCAACUAUACUGUAUUUAUAAUUAUAUAUAUAACUAAAAUAGUGGUAAUCAUUUAAAUGUCUAUAGCUAAAAAGCUGAUGUGAUGUUGUUUAAAUUGUAGCUAUUAAUAUCAUUUCUCAUUUGACAAUUUGGAUGGUGGUGGUGGUGUCCACUUCAUUUAAAGCUAGAAUCAUGCAGGAGAAUAUUCUUAUAUUCUUAACAAUAAUAAUAAUAAUAAUAAAAUUUAAUAAUAAUAAGAGAUGGUGAUUGGUUGGGUGGUAAUCCAUGACGCAAGCAAUUUUGGACCAUUUGAAAACCUCACCAUAAAUAUAAUAAUAAUAAUAAUAAUAAUAAUAAUGAUAAUGAUAAUGAUAAUAAAUUAACUAUUGUAAUUUGUUUUUAUCCUCUUAUAUGUAAUUAUUAUGAAUAUUUUAAUAAAAAUAAAUAAAUAAUGAGAUAAUUAUCUUUUUAGCGUCAUUAACUUUUAUCAAAUAAAUAUCGGUAAAAUUUUUAUCCCAACUUUAAUUCAACUGAAAAUCAGUUUCAACCUAAAAAUCACUUAUGAUAAAACAAACAAGCCCUUUGUGGAAGUUUUGCCAAUGCCAUGGGCCUUGAUUUUCUCGGUUUGAAAUUUGGGAAAGUUUGUGUUAUGAUACGAAAAAGAAUAAAAUUAAAAAAUAAUUUAUUUAAUCUUAUAAAUAAUAGUAUGUUGCAAAUAUUGCUACUGUUAGGUUUUGUUUAGAUUUGUAGUUGAAUCCUAAUUAGAGGAUAAACUUAACUAGAUUAGAAUUAAUAUUUAAAUCUAUUACAGAUUAAUUAAGAUAAAUGAAGGAAUGUGAUUGGCUUGUUAUUGAUGACGUGGUGCAAGUGUGACAGUGUAGAAUUCCUCAGGGUUGAGAGGUGUACGGCAAGGCUAAAGCUCCAAGGUGGUGUACCGUUGGUGCUUAAUGGACCGUACUUGAGAUUCUUGGCCAUGAGUUGAUGCACCGAGUGCAUGGGUGUACUAACGAGAGAAGUCUUUUUUUUAAGUUUAUAGAAGACGGGAGAAUGAUAUGAUCGGGUUGUAGCUACUCUGUGCAGAAAAGGAGUCAGGUGUAAUAUUCUCUUAUUUAAUGAAUUUUAUUUUAUCUGCAUAUUUUUCUCUUUUAUGAUUGUAUCAGUUUUUGCUGAGAAGACAGACGGGUUUAUGGGAAAAAUCUGAUUUGACGCUUUCGUUACGGAUUUCCAACAAUCGGUACCGAAUCCAUAUCAAUCAAUAUCGGAGGAGGUUGCGGAUUCACAAGAUCCGGUACUGGGGCGAGUACCGGAUUCCCAACAGCUACAUAAUUAAUUUGAUUAAAAUAUGAUUUUUUUGGUCUCGUAACCCCAGUACCAUACAGGCCCUUAAAUAUUUUCUUAAUUGUAGUUUUUUUAAAUUUAAAUUAAGCUGAUUUGAAUUGAUAGUGUUUGUGUAAAGACUCGAGUUUAUAAUAUAUUUUUUUAAUCCCUAAAUUGCAUAGGGAAUCAUCUUAUUUUUAAACCUAAAUAAAAAAGUAAAAAUAUACAUAAUUUAUCCAAACUGUUAACAAUUUGAUUUAACUAUCCAACCUUUUAAAAUUCUAAUUUUACUACUCAAACUUUCAAUCUGGUUAAUUUGAGACAAUCAUUGCUACUUUAAUUUUAAAAUUUGAAUCUGUUGUUUAUAUUUACUUAUUAAAAAAAAAAUCAAAUUUAAAGUCAAGGAGUCAUUAACUGACUCACGUAAAAUAAAUCAAAAAAGUUGGAUAGUAAAAUUAAAAUUUUGAAAAUUUGGAUAGUCAAUUCAAAAUGGUCUAUAGUUUAGAUAAAUUUAUAUUUAUAUUGUAGGUGUAAAUUUAUUAAUCAGGUAAUUAAUGUAAAACAAUAUUAACUUUAUUUUAUUGAUUUAGCCGGUUAACUUCUAAUUAUUUUAUUUGUAUUAUAUCAUUCAGAAAACUUAAUAAUUUUACCGAAUCUAAUAGUAAUCCAGUUAGCUAUCUAAUUUUUUAACUUUUGAUAAAUAAAAUUAUAAUUAUAAUAAUCAAUUAUUAUAAGCUAACAUAGCUAUUAAAUACAACAUAAUAUUUUAUUGAGUUAAAUAAGAUAGCUCAUCCAAAAUAAUUAAAAGUUAAAAAUUCAUUAAACAAAAUAUUUAAAGUUGAGGAACUUAUUUAAAAAUGCCCUAUACUAAGAGGUCCUUAGUUAGAGGUUAAGAAUGUAUUAAACAAAAUCAUGACAAAGUCCAAAAUAUUAUAUUAUUUCAUUUUGUUCAUCUCGUGCGAGAGCUGAGAUAUUUGGAUCGGGCUCAAAAUUAUCUUUGUUCGGGCUCGGCCCGAACUCGGGACGACAAAACUAACCAGGCUCGAAAGCAGAUCCGGCCCAAAAAGUUGAUCGAAUGUAGCUCCGUAUUGGGGCUGUUUGAUUGUAUGAAAUUGUAACUGUACUGCAGUUGUAACUACAUGCGAAUCUAAAUCUCGCGUUUGAUUCGAUGCGUUUGAAUUCAACUGCUGUAGUUUGGACUACAUGAGGAGGUCCAACUGUAGCAGUUGGAACUACGUCCAAAUUGACUGUGGCUCCAACUACAGUAACUAGCUAAGAAGAGUAAUAUUUUCAAUUAUAUUAUUUAUAAUUACAUCAAAUCAAGUAGCCUGAUAAUGCAAUUGGACGGUGCUCACGUCAAAAAAAAAAAAAAAAAGCCAUACCAGCAAUGGGGACAACGAUGGGGACAGCGCAAGGAUAGAGGCCCUAAAAACCUCCAUGGACGGGAAGGAGAAGUUUCUAUCCCGCCCGUUGUUUUCUUAUUUGGUAUUAAUAUUUUGAGUUAAUUUCAUAUAGGUUCUUGUAAAUAUAGUAAAUUACAAAUAUAUUUCUAUAAAGUUUAUGUUUUAUAUGUUAUUCAUACAAAAAUUCUAAUAUAUAUUUUUAAAAAUGUUCUUUUGAUUUGUUAUCAUUAAUUUUUUUAAAUUUAAUUAAAGUUUUGUCAUGUAGCACUGCAAAUGAUUAUAUAUAUAUAUAUAUAUAUAUAUAUAUAUAUGCAUGAAAAUAUAAAUCUCUGCAGGGCCAUGCAUGCAAAUUACGCUUACACGUCACAAGUCAAAAGAAACUUAUACAAACCCUCUUAUUACUGCUACAUUUUCUACAAAUUAACUAACGACGAUAUAGCAUCCGUACGUGCGUAGACCAUGCACGCAUGCAUGCAUGCAAGCACGUAACAACGUAUAAAACUACGCAUUAGGUAUACACGUAUUGUACUACACAGUAGCUCUGCGCUUGACUCUGAGGCAUCGGCAUCGUCAACGGCAUCUAGCGGCCGUGCUUCGGGUGCCCCAUGUGGUGGGGUGGUGGUGCUUCGGAGGCCUCCCCUUGUGCGGCGGCGGAGGUGUCGGUACCAUCGGAUGCACCCUGGUGAAGACACCGUGCUUGUGCGGUGGUGGAGGCGUCGGCACCAUUGGAUGCACCCCGGCAAAGACCUCGUGCUUGUGCGGCGGCGGAGGCGUUGGCACCAUUGGAUGCACCCCUGCGAAGACACCGUGCUUGUGCGGCGGCGGAGGCUUUGGCACCAUCGGAUGCACCCGGGUGAAGACACCGUGCUUGUGUGGUGGCGGAGGUGUCGGCACCAUCGGAUGCACCCAGGCGAAGACGCCGUGUUUGUGGGGUGGUGGUGGUGUCGGCACCAUCGGAUGCACCCCGGCAAAGACGCCGUGCUUGUGCGGCGCCGGAGGCGUCGGCACCAUCGGAUGCACCCCCGCGAAGAUGCCGUGCUUGUGCGGUGGCGGAGGUGUCGGCACCAUCGGAUGCACCCUAGCAAAGACACCGUGCUUGUGCGGUGGCGGAGGCGUCGGCACCAUCGGAUGCACCCUGGCAAAGACCCCGUGCUUGUGCGGUGGUGGAGGAGUCGGCACCAUCGGAUGCACCCUGGCGAAGACACCAUGUUUGUGCGGUGGUGGAGGUGUCGGCACCAUCGGAUGCACCCCGGGAAAGACACCGUGCCUGUGCGGUGGUGGAGGUGUCGGCACCAUCGGAUGCACCCUGGCGAAGACACCGUGCUUGUGCGGUGGCGGAGGUGUUGGCACCAUCGGAUGCACCCCGCCAAAGACACCGUGCUUGUGCGGUGGCGGAGGUGUCGGCACCAUCGGAUGCACCCGCGCCUCAGCCGCCGCGGCGUCGAGGAGGAUCAACAAUGCAAAGAGCAGAAGCCAUUUGUUCCCACCCAUUUUCCACUCUAUCUCUUUAGCUUAGAGCACUCUAUAUAUCUCUCUCUCUCUCCUUAUGAGUUGGUAUUGUAUAUAUGUUGUGUAUAGUGUGAAACAUGCAUAUAUAUAGAGGAGAUAAGAAGAGACCUGCCCAAGUUGAACUACUCUACUUGGUUAUUUUAAACACAACCGAGAUCGAGUGGGGGAAUUUAGAGUUUAGAUCGAGUAAGGUAAAAUAUAUGGAUAUUCCCCGCACUAUCAUAAUAUCAUCAUGACAUGGUCUCUUUAUAUACGCUUUACAUCAAAAGUUGAAUUUAUUUUCGAUUUUUUAUGAUCAGUCAAAAAAGUUCCAGUGAUCAUCUAAAUCACUAAAUGUACAUUGCUAAUCACGUUGAAUAGUCCAAAUCGUAGUUUUAAACCUUUAAUAAAAGCUGUAUGUAUAUUACAUGCAUGCUUGUGAGUGUAAUUAAUAUAUAUAUAUAUAUAUACAUAUACAUGUGCGUACGUUCAUUUUCCAUUAGCGACGUGUUUCGCCACAUCUCACACUUAUGAUCAGUCAAAAGGGGCUUUAUAAAAACUGUAGCCACGUUCCAACACCGAGGAGAGAUUGUGUAUCACGAAUAUUCGUUUGUGCAUGCGAUCAUUUUGCAUUAGCCACGUUUUCCGCCACAUUUGAUUGUGAUUUAACAGUCAAAAAUGUUUGCUGUACCUUUGAUCAUAGGAGUUUACAUCUCACACAGGUAAAAGAUCCAAGGGAGCGACGAACACUACAACAAAUUUUGUACUUAAAAAGAUACUUUAGAUAAUAAUAGUUAGCGACGCUUUAAAGCAUCAGUAAGAAUAACCUCGAUCGACGCUCGUAAAAAUAUCGAGUAAAGUAUCAUCAAGUAAACAUGUCAUAAUAAAUAUACAAAAUAUUGAAGACGUUAGAAUAAAAUGUUGUCUAACAAAUAUUGUCUAAUACAUAUUUUAUUAUUUUUUUAGAUUUUAGCAAAAUUAAAGAAAAACUUAAAAUGACCAAUAGAUUAAUAAGAUCCACAGGAAGCCUAUGAUAUAAAGUUUUAAAGUUAAAACUUAUGAAGAGGGUGUAUGAGUAGCAUCGCUUUUGCUCUUUUUUUUUUUAAGGGAAAAAUUCAAAUAUCACUCCUGUGGUUUCACAUUUUUUCGCUUUAAUAUUUUGUGAUUAAUUUCACUAAUUUUUUUCGUUAAAUUAGCGACAAAGUUAAAACUAAAGGGUACUAAACUAAAUAUUCAAUAAACCUAAAUAGGGUAUCUAAAGUUUUUUGUAUAUAACUUAAUAAAAUAUUAACGAAAUAUUGAUAAAAAGUAUAAAAUAAACCAUGUACAUGACACUAACUGAUACACUUUAAACUAUAGAGGUACUAAAGUGAGAAAAUACGAAACUACCGGGAUAGUAUUUUGAAGUUACUUUUUUUUUUUUUUUUUUGAUGUACAGAGGUUCGACUGUUGGUGUGAGAAAAUCACCAAUUUCUUAAAGCAGUUUUAUUUAUGGACUAAACGUCAAUUUGCCUGCUGUAGUUUAGCGCCGCUUUUUUUUUUUUUUUUUUUUUUGUCAUCUUAUAUUUUAAAAAGUUGCACUAAUUAACUAUUUUGUGGGCUUACUUUUGUUUCACCGUAUGGACGAAACUUCAUAGCAAGUGACACUUUUUGCAACUAAACGACAACAAAAGUAUAAAAUUAUUGCAUCCUAAAAUGUGAACUCAACAAUUUUGUAGUUUGCGAAAAAUAUUAAUUACUUUAUUAUUCUAUGUAUCGGUAGAUUCUUACAUCAAAGGAAUAGUAUUAUCAUAGACACUACAACAAAAAUUAUAUAUAGCGACACUUUUAAAUAUCGGUACAGAUCAAAAAAAGUGCUACUGGCUAAAUUACUAAUACUUUUAAAAAUUAUUGCUAUAUGUGGGGUCGCUAGGUAUAUAGUGACAGUUAAAGAGUGUCGGUAUAACCUAAAAAGAGUGCUGCUAAUUUAUCAAUACUUAUUUAAUCAUUUAGCAACCGCCGGAACUCUACCUUGUUGGCUGCGGUGGCGGAGGAUGAGGAGAGGGAAAGGCUUUUUGUCUAGGAUUUCAGUGGAUUGAGUGAGGGGAGAAGGGGAGAUGGUAAUCGAUUUUUCUUCUUUUUUUUUUCUUUUCUGUUUGUAAUCGGGCCGAAUGGGCUAGGUGGGGUAGGUUGAGUAGAAUAACCUUUUUUUUUUUGGAUUGGGCUUUAUAUUUAGGUAUUAGUAAAUUUUUUUAAAAUUUUUAAUAUAAAUGGGACAUUUACACAAAAUUGUCUCAAAUAUAUGUUCCUAUAACUAGGGGUGGCAAUCCAGCUCACUGUUCACGAGCCAGCUCAUGUUCGACUCGAAAUGAGCUUGAGAUCGAAUAACUCGUUUAGUAAACGAGCCGAGCACGAGCUGAAAUUUUCAGCUCGUUUAAUAAACGAGCCAAACANNNNNNNNNNNNNNNNNNNNNNNNNNNNNNNNNNNNNNNNNNNNNNNNNNNNNNNNNNNNNAAAAUUUAAUAAUAUUUAGAUUAAAAUGUUCCCUCUCCGUUGGACCCAUCUCGAUCCUUAUAAGGGACUCAUGUCAUGGUCCCCGGGCUCGGGGUUGAACCAGCCAGGUCCGCAGGCACGAUCCACAUGGGUGGUGCUGGACACGACACGACCUGCACGGCGUGCCUAAUGCAGGUUGUGCCGUACAGUGCAGUACAGUGCAGUGAAGUACCGUGCCGAACCGAGCCGAUGGAUCAGGGAGAGUUCGUCCAACACAGCCGAUGGAUCACUAUAACAAAAUAUGUUUUAAACGACGCUUUAUUUUAGUGUUUUCAAUAUUUAACAUGCAUGCAUGUGUCGACAUUAUGAUUAAGCAUCGACGAUAAACAUAUUUUUAUCAAAUACUUAUAAAAAUUUUUCGACGUUAUAUUAAAAUGUCGGUAUAUUUAUCCCGACAUAUUUACUUAAUCACUCUUUGCUCGACGGUUUUACAAGCGUCGGGAUCAUUCUCGCCGAUACUUAAUUUAAAUUGUUGUUAGUUAUUGUUUAAAGUAUCUUUAAGUAUAAGAUUUGUUGUAGUCGGUCCUAGCUAUGUCGGCAUGACACGGACACUAUAGCACUGUUGAUACUUUAAAGCGUUGUUAGUUAUUUAUUAAUUAUUCCACUUUUAUUUGCUAAAAAUUGAUUAAAACUACUAAAUUUGAUAAAAUUAUCAAUGAAUUUGGUGAAAUUUAAAAUGAAUGAAACUUUUAAGAAAUUCUCAAUACAAAAGUUCAAAGUAUCUCCAUAAAUUUUUGCAAUACGUAACGUUACUACAUUAAGAGAUUCCCGCUCGAAUUAAUAAAAAUCCAAUUUUUAUUUUUAUUUUCCAACUAAUAUGUGCAUGUUUAUUUGACUUAAUUAGUUUCUGAACAGCUAACAUAAAACAUAUAUAAAAGAAAAACCUGAUGCUGUACGUAGCCAAAUAAACACGUACAUUAAUUUCAUUAGGAAAAAAAACACAUUACAAUAUACAUUGGAGAAAUAAGAAGGUAGAUUAUUAACUUUUCAUAAUGUCGCACUACAAAUGUACGUAACAGGGUCAUGCAUGCAUAUUAUUAUUAUAUUAAUACGACACAAGCUAAGCAAACUCACACAAUUACACUCUAAUCACCACUACAUUUAUUCUAAAUUAACGACCAUAAUAAAGCAUACGCACGUACGUAGUACAAUUCAUGCAUGCAUGCAUGGAUGCGUGCGUGCACGUAUAUAGCAACGUACGUACGUAUAAAACUACGCAUUAUACAUGCAUGCAGUAGCUCUACGCACUCUGCGGCGGCGGGUGGUGCCUGUGCCCACCCUUGUGCGGCGGCGGAGGAGUCGGCACCAUCGGAUGCACCCCCGACAACGCACCGUGCUUGUGCGGCGGCGGAGGUGUCGGCACCAUCGGAUGCACCCUGGCGAAGACACCGUGCUUGUGCGGUGGCGGAGGUGUUGGCACCAUCGGAUGCACCCCGCCAAAGACACCAUGCUUGUGCGGCGGUGGAGGUGUCGGCACCAUCGGAUGCACCCGCGCCGCGGCCGCCGCGGCACCGAGGAGGAUCAACAAUGCAUAGAGCAGAAGCCAUUUGUUGCCACCCAUUUUUCACUCUAUCUCUUUAGCUUUAGAGAAGUAUAUAUGUAUCUCCCUCUUUAUGAGUUGGUAUUGUCUAUAUGUUGUGUGUAGUGUGAGAGCGUGCAUAUAUAUAGAGAGAGUAGUAGUGUAACUAUGAAUGAGACCUGCUUAAAUUGUACUAGAUCUGCUUGGUUAUUUUAAUCGAUAUUGUAACAAGAUAAUGAUGAGAGAGAGAAGAGAGAGAGAGAGAGAGAGAGAGAGAGAGAGAGAGAGAGAGGGAGCUUUAGAGUAAAUUGAAAUAUGUGGAUAUAUAUUCGAUCCCUAAUUAAUCACUAUGAUAUUGUUGUCACAUCAAAUAAAGUUCAAGGAUUAAUGAAAAAAAAAAUAAGUUGAAUUCAUUUUCGAUUUUUACAAGUCAAAAGAAGCUUUAGUAAACUAGNAGAGAGAGAGAGAGAGAGAGAGAGAGAGAGAGAGAGAGGGAGCUUUAGAGUAAAUUGAAAUAUGUGGAUAUAUAUUCGAUCCCUAAUUAAUCACUAUGAUAUUGUUGUCACAUCAAAUAAAGUUCAAGGAUUAAUGAAAAAAAAAAUAAGUUGAAUUCAUUUUCGAUUUUUACAAGUCAAAAGAAGCUUUAGUAAACUAGCCACGUUUUGAGUCACGAUUUUACGACGCGAUCUAGUAUUAUAAAAUUUGUCUUAUAUAUUAAUCAUUAAAAAAUAUUAAUUUUUAAAUCAUUUAAAUACUACAUAAAUAAUAUUAAAAAAAUAAUAUCCUAUAUCAUAUUCAGCUAUAAUGAUUUCCGAAUGAUACGAAAGUAAAUGAUUAUAUUUAUUUUUUAAAAUAUUUUAUGUUUAUGUGCAUGCGUUCAUAUUCCAUUAGCGACGUGUUCUUCGCCACAUCUCACAUUUAUGAGUGAUCAAAAGAAGCUUUAUAAAACUAUGGCCACGUUGCGACACCUACGACAACAUAUAUCUCAAACACGAGAUUAUGUAUCGCGAACCUUCGAGAACAUAUAUAUAUAUCUCGAACACGAGAUUAUGUAUCGCGAACAUUCGUUUGUGCGCAACAAUCAUUUUUCCAUUAGUGGGGUUCAUAGUUAGUUAAUUCAGAUUCGGCAAAAAUUCGAUACGAUUAUAAUUCGGAUAAAAUUUGUUUUCUAAUUUUUAAAUUCGUUAAAAAAUACGGCUAAAAAACGGAUUAGUGAAUUAUUCGGAUACGUUGUUUAUACGGAUAUUAUACGUUCAUCAAUUAAAAAUUCGGAAUAAAAAAUUCUGACUAUUAAAUUAAAUUUUUUUCUCUCAAGAUUUAUAUUAUUAGCAUAAAUACUCAUAUAUAUUUCUUAAGAAUAUAAGAAUAAAUAGCUACAAAAUUAAGUUAAUUAAUUAAGUAAAAAUUUGAAAAGAGUUUUUUUUUUUCUAUUUUUGGGCGAGGUGUUUAGAAAGGGGAUUCUUUAGAAUUUUUUCUGUUUUAGGCUAGCCGGCCCGCGAGGCCCGCGAGCCGCGAGCCGCGAGCCGUGAGGGAAUUUAGAUGCUCGAGGCGCUUGAGGGGCGCGGGCCUCGCGGGUGCGCGCGGGCAUUGUGGGAGCGCUCGCGGCGCGGGAGCGCACGCGGGCCGUGUUUUUUUGGCUCCGAAUAAUUCGGCACGCGUAUAAUACACGAAUAAGUCUUUUUUAUCAAAAUAAUCAUGUUUUUUUUCCAAAAUUUUGGGAAAAAUACGAAUUCAACCGUUUAAUUCGUUUCUUCAAAAAUUCGCGAAUAAUUUGCGAAUAAUUCGCAAAUUUACUAACAUAGGUGGGGUUUGGUUGGACGUAAAAUGAAUGGAGGAAUUUUUUUUGAUAUGAAAAAUAUUUUGUAUUUGUUUGAUUUGAUAAAAAAUUAUAUUUUAUAAAAAUAUUUUUUACAAAUAAAAAAAAUUAAAAUUUUUCAUUUUACGUAAAUUUUCAGUGAAAAAUAAAACUCAAGCUGCUUAAAAUUUUUUCAUUCAUUUUUUUCUAUCGAACCAAACAAAUAUGAAUUUUUCCCUUUCAACCACACAAAUGUUGACUGAAAAAUUAAUUUUUUUCCUACAAACCAAACACUACAGAAUGUGUCAUCAAAAAUUUUUUUCCACGAAAAAUUAUUUUUCACGGUUUCAUGGUUUUUCGCCACAUUUUAUGGUGAUUUUACGAUGGUAAACUGUUAAAUGUACAUUCUCUAUAUUACAGAAUAUAAAUUUUACAUUUCUAGUGCUAAAAUUCGAACCUAUAAAAUUUAUUUAAAUUAUUGGUCAUUUUGAUUUGAUUAUCUAAUCUUUCAAAAUUUUAAUUUUACUAUCUAAUUUUCUGAUUUAUUUGAUUUGAGUCGGUCAGUAACACUUUGACGUCAAUUUAUUUAAUAUACUUCAUACAAUUCUCACAACUAUAAAUCUAUUAAAGAAAAUAAUUAGCUUAAAUUUUAAAGUUAAAGUGUGAGACCCCAGAUAGUCCUAUAUAUGAGAUAUAAUAGAGCUAAACUCUUAACCCGGGUUAAGCAUUUUGGGUGGUGGCAAGACCCAAGAGGUUAAGAGAGUUAAGCGUGCUAGGACGGGAAUAGUCCUAGGAUGGGUGACCCUCUGGGAAGUUGGGGCGUCACAGAUGGUAUCAGAACUAAUGACCAGCCGGAAGUGUGAGAUGAGUCUCGGCUGAGCCAGGGUCUGGAUGACGAGCUAGCGAGAUGAGUCUCACAUCGCCUGGUAUUUGUGAGUCUGAGCCUGACGAGGACGUCAGGGCUUAAAGGAGGGGAGAUUGUGAGACCCCAGAUAGUCCUAUAUAUGAGAUAUAAUAGGGCUAAACUCUUAACUCGGCUUAAGCAUUUUGGGUGGUGGCAAGGCCCAAGAGGUUAAGAGAGUUAAGCGUGCUAAGACGGGAGUAAUCCUAAGAUGGGUGACCCCCUGGGAAGUUGGGGCGUAACAUAAAGUACCGUUAAGUGACUCAAAUUAAAUAAAUUAAACAGAUUGGAUAGUAAAAUCAAAUUUUGAAAGAUUGAAUAGUUAAAUCAAAAUAGUUUAUAGUUCGGAUAAUUAAGUUUCAUACUUUUUACCAUAUUAGUAUAAAAGCAUUUUUUGAAUUUGUAAUAUUAGUAAAAGGUGGUUGAUAAAACUAGUGGAGAAAUGUAAACCACUAAAAGCCUAGGGUGUAGGAUUUAUAUUUAUAUUAUAGGUGUAAGGCUACUAUUGCUUGUUUAACUAUUUUUCAGUAAACCGCCUCUACGACAACUAAAAAUCGUCUCUACGAUCGCCUUUUCUUGUAGUACUAGAUAUAAGUUUUACACACAAAACUCAUAGUACAUAUACCAUUGCUUAUUUAUCUAUCGUGUGCGAUUAAAGCUCCGAUUUGCAAAGCAGUUCUAUUUAUCAAUAAACUUCAAUUUGCUCGCAUUUUUUUUUUUAUCAUCUUAUAUUUUAAAAUUUUCUACUUAAUUAACUAUUUUGUGAGUUUACUUCUGUUUCACCGUAUAGUCUACCAGUUAAAUAGGACUCUAAAAGUAAUACUUUUUGCAAACUACAGGACAGUAAAAUAUAGCAUUUUAGCAUCCUAUAAUGUUAAUUUUACUAUCUUAUAGUUUGUGAAAAAUAUUACUUCAUUAUUUGUUGGCAGAUUCUUAUGGUUAAACAAAGUACAAAUGCUUUAAAAACAACAUAGAAUAAAUUGAAUCUUAUCCCUAUUUAUUUAUAUAUUUAUUUAUUUAUUUUUAAUUUAUUUAUUAUGUUAUUUUCUUUCUAUUUCAUAAUUUUUUAAAAAAAUCUUUAAAAUUUAAAAUUAAAAAAAAUCUCCAAUAGUGAUUUUUUUACUAUGUAAAAUAUUUAAAUUUUUUAAAAAGUCUUAGAAAAAUUAUAUUUAAAAUAUAAAAAUAUUUGGACUAAAAUGUCCACCCUAUUAGUUUAUCUUUAUAACUAUUUAGAGGAGCAUUUUGGUCCAGCGGCCUGCAUUUAGUCGGGUCGGAUCUGGUGGUGGAGCCCGCCCGGCCCGUUCGAAUGUUUAGUUGUCACUAUAAAAUCACAAACAGUGACAAAAAUAAUUACCAUAAAUUAAUUGAAACUAAGAUGCCAACUCAAAUUUCGCUAUAAAAUGUCUAUUUAUUAAAUUUAAUUAUUUUUAUUAUUAAUAAAGUUGCAAUCCAAAUAAAAUAUUUAAAGAGUUUAUUUCAAAAUAUAAUUGGGAGAUUGUUAUUAUUUUUCACCCGCAAAAAACAUCAAUUUUUUUUAAAAAUAGUAUAUAAUUGAGGGAACUUUUAUAUAUAUUCACCUGGAGUGGGUUAGUAUGCUUCAUGAAGCAUGGAGCCUUCCGUUCUUUCAGGUCAUUUUCGAUUUCGGAUUUUCGAAUCGACGAUCGGCUCCGUUAAUUAGACUUGAUCUAGAGUAUUUGAAGUACCUAAAAAAUAAAUAUUGUGAUUUUUCAAUAUCAUUUGCCUAGUGAUCGAAGGGGCUCAAAAUCAAUAAUUUUAAUGGCCGUGGUGAGCCGUUUGCAAGUUUAACGGUGUAGAAAUAUCCAAAUCACAUGAAAUUUUGAUAGAAAAUUUUUUAUACCAUAUAAAACAAGAUCAAUAACUUUGAUCUAAAAUUUUAAUGUCAUAUCAUCAUAGUUUGUAAGAUUUUUAUUUUCAGUCGUUGAUUUUGACCCACUUCGAUAACUAGGCAAAUGAUAUCGAAAAAUCGCAAAAUUUAUUUUCUAGAUACUUCAAAUACUCUAGAUCAAAUCUAACGGAGCCGAUCGUCGAUUCGAAAGUCCGAACAUCAAAAACAACUUGGAAGCACGGAGUGCUCUGUGCUUCCAGAAGCAUACCAGACGCACUCUAUAUAUAUAACUUUUCUAAAUACAAUGUAGAUAAGAAUAGUGGGAGGAUAUUAGUCUCAAAACAAAGUUGAAAGAGUUGUAAAGAUGUAGUCCAAGUAUUUUGGCUAAGAGGAGUUUAAGAUUGCUUUACGAAAUUUUAAUGUUGAUAUAAGUAAUACUAAUUAUUUUAAGUAUGUAUAUUAAUCAAAUAUAUAUAUAUAUAUAUAGAGUCCGUCUCCCGUACUAUAUAUAUAUAUAUAUAUAUAUAAUUUAGUGCAGCUCUUGUUAGUCCGUAACAAAUGGAAUCGAGUCAAAUAAGGAGUUGCUACCAUUAAGGGUAGAAAACCAUUUGUUAAAAUCAGAUAUGAGAUAGUGUGUUCUCUAGUUAUUUUAAUCCUUUUUAUAGUGCUUUGAGUAAUUAUUUUAUUAUCGAUUAUUUUGAUUGAUUGCAAACUUUUGAGCCCUUUCGAUCACUAGGCAAAUAAUAUCGAAAAAUCACAAAAUUUAUUUUCUAGGUACUUCAAAUACUCUAGAUCAACUCUAACGGAGCCGAUCGUCGAUUCGAAAGUCCGAACAUCGAAAACAACUUGGAAGCACGGAGGGCACCGUGCUUCCAGAAACAUACCAGCCCGCUCUCUCUCUCUCUCUCUCUCUCUAUAUAUAUAUAUAUAUAUAUAUAUAUAUAUNAGAGAGAGAGAGAGAGAGAGAGAGAGAGAUAGUUGAGCUAGAAUACUAUUGAUAGCAAACGAGCUCCGUACGUUGCCAUCCAUUUGUUUUCGAUAAUGAAGCUUUCAAAUCGACAAUCGGCACCGUUGAAUAUGAUUUAUACCACUUGAAGUAUUUAGAAACUAAAUUUCAAUUUUUUUUGACAUUAUUGACCUAAUGAUCAAAAGGUUUCAAAAUUUAUAAUUUAUAAUUUUAAUGGUCGGUAUAAGGCGUUUUCUCGUUUAACAGUGUAAAAAUAUUCAAAUCGAUUGAAUUUUGGUUAGAAAAUUAUUUAAACUAUUUAAAACAAGAUCUAUACUGUUGAUCUUGAUUAUAAGAUUUUUAUUAUCACUUUUUAAAGAAUAUUCAUUUCCAGUCGUUCAUUUUGUGUCCAUUUGAUGGACAAGAGAACAAUAUUAAAAAAGUAUGAAAUUUAGUUUCUAGAUAUUUCAAGUGAUAUAGAUCAUGUUCAACCGUGCCGAUCGCCGAUUUGGAGGCUCUAUUAUCGAAAACUGGCAACAAAGUCCGUUUACUAUCGAUAGCAUUUCAGCUCAACUCUCUCUCUCUAUAUAUAUACUCUAAUCUAUUAAGAGAGGCACAUUAAGUUGUCACUCGUUUUCAGUUAAAUAAUAAAAAUAAAUAAAUAAAUCUGUCAUGUAGUUACUGAUCGUCCCUAGAGCAAGUGGCAAAGGGUUUGGUGGUUGGUAUCCGAGACCCAAGUUCGAAUCCUAGUUGAUUCACGUUUCUAGCUAAGUUUAUUUUCAAAAUGAAAUAAACGAAACGGGUAGGGUGCUACCUAUCUCUCUCUCAAAAAAAAAAAAAAAAAAAAAAAAAAGUCAUGUAGUUUAAAACACUUACUACUGAUAAGAGAUAAAGGAUACAAACGAUUAUUUUUUAAAGUUUUAACUUAGUUUCAGACGAAUUUUAACUAGCAAGUACAAUCUUGAUAGAUUUGUAGAUCAUUAGCGCUAAUCAAUUACUAUCUUAAAAACACGUGCUACUUGAAAAGGUUAUAUUUAUCGCACUUAAGGAUUUAGCCACAUUAUUUAUGGAUUUUGAUCAUACUCAACUCAUCUAGACGUUACAUCUAUUGUUGGAGCUCUUUUUAUUAGGAUUAUUGUCGAUCAUAAUUCUACUCAACUAAUUCAACUUAUUAGUCUUCUAGGCAUAUUAUUACGGGACAAUAAAUUGGACCUAUUUUAUCCAAUAAUAAAUAACUAAUAAUUCCCCUAACCCAACUCCUACUUUGUAAAUGCAAUGUGUGGGAAUCGAAUUCAUGCCAAUGGCUCUGAUAUCGCUUGUCGGAUGAAAAUACUAACCAACUACCCUAAAAAUAUGUGCUGAGAGGAAUGGCGCACUAAGUGCACUUAAAAGUGAAGCCACAAUAUUCAUGGACUUCGAUCUGAUUCAACUCAUUUAGACGUUAGGUCUAUUGUUAGGUCUCUUACUGCUAGGUCUAUUGUGUACCGCAGCCCCACUCAAUUUAUUGGGCUCAUCUAGCUAGCUCAACUUAUUAGUCUCCUGAGCUUAUUGUCACGGAUAAAAAGUUGAGCCUAUUUUAGCCAAUAAUAAAAAGCUAAUAAAAUUUUGAUAUUUUCGAGGGCAUUCGUGAUAUUAUUAACUUCAUAGGGCUAAGACGACAUUAUAGAUCCCUAAAGAGUAGAUGUGAAAUUAUUUCUAUAAUUUUUUUGAUGUUGAAAUAUGAAAAAUGGUAGGUGUACACGGUUUGUAUACUCUUUUGGCAAUUCAAGGGUUCACAAAAUUCUAUUAAAUUUUAAUUAAAAAUUUGAUAAGAGACUUUCGAUGUAUAUUUUACAUCUAUGCCAAAACAACCCCCUCAACCAUAGGUUAUUUUGAAAUGACCCCUCAACUUUAAUUUUUUAAGGAAAAACUUCAAAAACCCCCCUGUGGUUUCACACUUUUUCAUUUUAGUACCCUGUGGUUUGAAGUGUAUCAAGUUAGUACCCUGUGGUUUCUCACUUUAUCACUUUAGUACCCUGUGGUUUAAAAUGUAUCAAGCUAGUACCCUGUGGUUUUGCACUUUAUCACUUUAGUACCCUGUGGUUUCACACUUUAUCACUUUAGUACCUUGUGAUUUAAAAAACUAUAGGGUACUAACUUGAUACAAAAUUAAAACCACAGGGUACUAAAGUGAUAAAGUGCAAAACCACAUGGUACUAACUUGAUACACUUUAAACCACAGGAUACUUAUGUGAUAAAGUGAGAAACCACGGGGUACUAACUUGAUACAUUUUAAACCACAGGGUACUAAAGUGAAAAAGUGUGAAACCACAAGGGGGGUUUUUGAAGUUUUCCCAUUUUUUAACUGAGGCCCCCUAAGCUUUCGACUUUAUAUAUAGAAUUGAAUUAUUUCAGUUGGUAUAGGUAAAAAAUUUAUUAAAAUUUGGGGCUGUCUUGGACAUUAUUUAUUAAUUAACCAGUUAAUUAUUAAAUUAUUAAUGAAUUUAAUAAAUUUUUUUGACUAAAAUCACUGAAUUUAAAAAGAUUGAAAUUAAGUUAAGAAAUUUUCGAUAAAAAAAGCUCAAAGUAUCUCCAUACAUUUUUACCAUUUUUCUUUUUGACAACUUUCCACUAAAAGUAAUAAAAGAGAUAAAUAUUUUUGUUGUUCAAUUAAUAUGUUAACACCUAUCAUAAAAACACAUACAUAAAAGAAAAGGCUGUUGCUGAAGCCAAAUAAACACUUCACAUUUCGGUGGAAAAAUAAAAUAAUAAUCAGUAAGCAAAAAAAAAGAAAAAGAAAAAAAAACACACACACACACACACAUUACAUUUAUAUAUUCCAAGCAAACAAAAAGGUACAUUAAUAUAACUCUUAAUUUAUCAUGUAGCACUACAAAUAUAUAUGAAAAUAUAACUCAUGAAAAAUACGCACGCCUGUUCAUGCGCACGUGCAUGCACACGAACAUUAAUACGACACAACUUAAACAAAACUCACACAAACACACUUAACUACUAUUACUACCACAUUUAUUAUUAUUGUAAAUAAACGACGAUAUAGCAUACGUACGUACGUACGUACGUACGUAGACCAUGCAUGCACGUAACACGUAACAAUGUACGUACAUAUUAAACUACUUACGCACUGCAUAUAUAUAGUAAUUCUAUGGGUGCUUCGGCGGCGGCGGCGGCACAGGGCGUUCGUAGGCCGACGACUUGGGCGGCGGGGCGGCGGGGCGGUGGUAGGCCCCGCCGUCGUGCUUCUCGUGGCCGCCGUGCUUCGGGUGCUCCUUGCGGUGGCGCUCGCGCUGACCCUCGUGCCGAGGCGGACGCGGAGGCGGACACGCCGGCGGGUAUCGCGCCGCGGCCGCCGCCACGGCGCCGAGGAGGAUCACCAAUGCAAAGAGCACAAGCCAUUUGUUCCCACCCAUUUUUCACUCUAUUAUCUCUAGUAUAUGCUCUCUAUCUAUGUAUAUAUCUCUCUCUCUUUGUUAUGAGCUGCUACUGCAUGUAUUAAUUGUGUGUAGUAGUGUGACCAUGUAUAUAUAUAAAUAUAUAGAGAGAGAGAGAGAGUAUAUAAGAGACCUGCCCCAGUUGAACUCUCCUUGGUUAAUUGUUUAUAAUUAACACACCGAAAUUCUAACAAGAUAAUGAUGAGAGAGGGUGGAGGCUUUUACUGUUUAGAAUAAGUUAAAAUAGAGGGAUCGAUAGUCCCUAUAACUUCCUUGAACAUUCAUAUAUAUGAAAUAUAUAUAUAUAAAUUGAUAAAAUUAUAGAAAAAAUUCUUAUAAACAUCUGUUUUUUUUUUUUCAAAUUUUUAAAAAUCUAUAUUUUAUCCCCUCAACAUUUUAAGUUGUUGGAUUUAGCCCUCCUCCGUCAGGAUUCUAUGGCUAUUCAGUCAAUUUCUUAUAAUUUAUACCAAAAAUACCCUUCAAAAUAACAAAAAUAUAUUAAAAUUAUUUUUUCUUACAGAAGAAGUAAGGAUAAUUUGGUUAUUUUGCUCUUUUCAUUAACGCCGUAUCCCUCUAAAAGUAUUUUUGAAAUUUUAAGAGAGUAAAAUGUAAGUUUUUAAAAGUAAUGAGGGGAAAGUGAAAAAGUAAACAUUUCUAAGAAGAUUUUUUAUAUUUUAACCGUAUAAUUUUGUUGUAGAAUGAUAUUAUAAUCCUCUUUGGACUCGUCUAAAAUAGUGGGUCAUUAUUUUAUAUAUAUAUAUGUAUACACUGCAUUAGAACCGACCAUCCCUAGAGCAAGUAUAGCAAAGGGCUUAGUGGUUGGUACCCAAGACCCAAGUUCGAAUCCUAGUUGAUUCACAUUUCUAGCUAAGUUUAUUUCUAAAUAAAAUAAACGAAGCGGAUAGCGUGCUACCUAUCUCUCUCUCGAAAAAAAAAAAAAAAAAAAAAAAAAAACUUUACCCUCCUGUGACUUAGCUUAUUUUUACUUUGUCGUUCCGCGGUAAAAAAAAAAAAAAAAAAUUGCACUUAGUUAACCUGUGAUUUGGUGCAUUUUUUUCACUUUAUUUUGUCAUCACGUAGUUUUUCAAAAAAUUUUGCUUCGCCACCCUAUUUGACAUAAUUUUUUUUGGGUGAAAUAAAAAUUAAACCACAAGAAAACAAAGUACAACAUUUUGAACCACGAGAUGACAAGGUAAAAAUACGUUAUAUCUAUCACUUUAAAUUACUAAAUGCAACAUAUAUGUGGAAGUUACACUUUAAUGAAGUGUUUAAGUGGAAAAUUCAGAGACCAGGUAGCAAUAUCAGAAUAGUACAGGGAUUAUAUGUAGAGUUCGGCUACUAUACUAUUAGUAGUACGGAGCGCUCCGUGCUACCAAGUUGUUUUCGAUGAUGCGACUUCCAAAUCGACGAUCGGCUCCGUUAGACUUGAUCUACACUAUUGAAAAUAGUUGGAAACUAAAUUUCAGAUUUUUUCGACAUCAUUUGACUAGUGAUCAAAAGAUCUCAAAAUUAACAAUUUUAAUGGCCGAUGUGGUGUGUUUGUGAGUUUAACGGUGUAAAACAAUCCAAAUCCGAUGAAAAUUUUAUAGAAAAUUUUUUUCACUAUUUAGAGUAAGAUCAGUAUAUCUGAUCUUGAAUUUAAAUCUUUUAUUAUCAUUUUUUAUGAGAUUUUUAUUUUUAGCUGUUCAAUUUUAGACUACUUGUUUGAUAGGUAAACGAUAUCGAAAAAUUAUGAAAUUUAGUUUCUAAAUACUUUUAAUAGUAUAGAUCAAAUUUAACGGAGCCGAUCGUCGAUUUGGAAGCCACAUCAUCGAAAACAACUUGAUAGCACGGAGCCCUCCAUGCUACUGAUACUAUAGUAGCCUAUAAUAGCCUAGUUCUUAUAUAUAUAUCCAUACAAUUUUACCCUUAAGAAUAUAAUAAAAGAGUGUAGCUAGCUAGUAUUGAAAGGAGAAUAAUAUAUGGGGGCUUUAAUUAUGGGUAUCUAGUAAUAUAAUAUAAUCAUAGUAUUGGUAUGAGGGUCUUAUAUUGUUAUCCAUACAAUUUUACCCUUAAGAAUAUAAUAAAAGAGUGUAGCUAGCUAGUAUUGAAAGGAGAGUACUAUAUGGGGGCUUUAAUUAUGGGUAUAUAGUAAUAUAAUAUAAUCAUAGUAUUGGUAUGAGGGUUUUAUAUUGUUAAAAAAUUAAGAAGGGGUGCAGAUGCAUGAGCUGGUGAAGGGGUCUACUGGAUGGGCUUCUAGGAAGCAGCAGCAGCAGCAGCUGCAGAGAGAAGCUACUUUUUGGAGCAGGGUUUUACUAAGGCAAACAAAUUUUUUUAAAAAAAAACAUGCUUGUCAGAAUCUUUUCAGAAAACUCAAUCACUGUAUAACAUAGUAUAUCUAUAAAAUAUAAUGAAUCCUCAUAGAUUUCAAGUCCUCUCCGCAAUUCAUGAAAAAAAUGGGCCUCUCCCCUCUCUAAACUUACAAUUAUUCUCUUAAUUAGUAGACCCUAAUUCUCUCUCUUCUUAAUUAGGAUGUUAGUGGAGCCCAUAUUCUCUCUCUUUUAAUUAAGGUGGGGCUAAUUUUCUUCUAAAUGCUUCUUACGUUACUUCUCUCUAUUCAUCUGCCCCUUCAUCUUCUUUCUCUUAAUUUUUUUUUCCUUUUUUUUUGUCCACAUAAUGAAUGGAUAAUCAUGUCGUAUUUAAAAACUCCAUUGUGAAUAAUUGUAUAUAUUAGUAUAUUUCUAUAUACUCUAAGUAGGAUUUACUAAAAAUAAUUAAAAGCUCCAUUGUGAAUAAUUGUAUGUAUUAUUAUAUUUCUAUAUCUCUAAUUAGGAUUUACUAAUUACUUUACAUAUUACUGUAAAAUAUUUUUUUCCUGUUAUAUCGAUUAUUAUAUAAUUGUCUAUAUUGUAACUUUUAAUACUGGAAUACUAAUAUUUUAUUUACUUAUGUUGAUAUUUUAUUAUUUAUAAAUUUUUUACUUUAGCAGUAACUACCCGCCGCAUUGCGUGGGUACCUACACUAGUUUCUAUAUGAACUUUAAUAAAAGUGAAAAUAUGCUUUGUGAACUUCACAUUUUUCAAUCAGCUACCUAGUUUUAUCUUAACCAAAAAAGCAAAAAAAGAAAAAAAAAAAAAAACCUAUAAAUGCAUUUCCUAAUAAGUGUUUUUACCUAUCUAAGAUUAAAUGAAAAGGGCCCAAUAGAUAUAUAGUCAAUUCAACAAUGCCGACUUAUACAAUAUGAGUAAUGCUUUAAUACACCAUAUAAAUUUUGACCAUUUAUUUUUUUAAAUAGAUGGUUGAGAUGUAAUAUGAUUCUAGAGGCGACCUACUAUGCAGGCAUAGGUACCAUUCAACAGGUACCUAUUUAAAGGGUAUUUCGGUCUUAGAAAAAUAUUUUGAUUUACAAAACAGGUUUUAUCCAACUAAGAAUACUAUAACAUUUUCAAAAAUGUACAACAAUAGUUGGAAUUCAAAUUAAAACUAAACUAUAAAUUUAAAUGCAAAGCAACAUAAAAAACUUAAUUAUAAAUCAAAUUCAACUUUUUAAAUAUAAAACACAAAUUUAAAAUAAAAUAUUUUAGGUCAAAUUCAAAAUUUUAAUUUAAAUCAAAAUUUAAAAUUUGGAUUUCAGAUUAAAAGUACAAUGUAGAUUACAGUACAGUACCAACUUCAAAACUUAAAUUUUGAAAUUAAAAUGUUACAUUACAGUACCAACUUCAAAACUUAAAUUUAAAUUUAACAUUUUUUUGAGUUGGAUACUUAAAUUUAAUAUUAUAGGAUGCUAGCAAAUUUGAUAUAUGCUACUAAUUUUUUUCCAAUAUUGUCAUAUUAACUAAUUCAAAUCGAUAACCUGUUCAAUAUGUUACUUUAUGUAAAAUUCAACUAUAUUCUUUACUAAUUAAGAGUUUGGUUUUAAUAAUUAUGGUGUAUUAAAGCAUUGCGCGUACAAUAUAAACAAUGAGUGCUUCAAAUUAACGUUGACAUUAAUACAUUAUAUCUAGAAGAUCGAUCUGAUUUAAAAUAACCCACAGGCAUAUUUAACAUAUAUAUAAUUAAAAAUUAAAAUAAUUAUAGAGUUUAUAAUAUUUGGAUGUUAUUAUAUUAUAUGUAAAUAUUUAGGAAGGUUUGAUAUAUUUUAUCUAUUUUUAUUUUUUUUACUAAUUAAUCUCAACUAGGUUUUACAUAGCCAAGUAAUGGCUAAAGAUGGAGCCAUGUGUACAGGUUGGCUAACAGUCAACUCUACAGAUUUCGAGAAGCUUCCAGAGUCUUUUUUUUUUUUUUAAUUUUAGUUUUCUGGGACUUUUGUGGAGAAGAGGGAAGCUCCUAUACUAGGUUCUAUUUAUUUAUUUAUUUAUUUAUUUUCUUAAUAUGGCUUUAAUUUCAAGGUUUUUUUUUUUUAAUGAUUCUAAGUUAAUGCAUUUUAUUGAAAUACGCAAUUUAGAUAGGGAGAAUUUGGUCAUGAGUAGGCAAUCGUCAAUAGAGUCAGAUCUCAUGCAGUCUGUACGUACAAAAAAAAUUUAUGCAUACUAUCUGAUUUGGCUGUCGGCGGAGUUAUAUAGUCCGCUGAUGGAUAUAUAAUAAACUCUUCACUUAAAUCACCCGUUGCAGUAACGAAUCCUAGUUCUAUGAAGAAGGUCGGAUCGAAAGAUGCACCAGAAUUUUCUGCUUAGGUUUCUCUAUUGUUAUUUGCUUGAGUUGUAAACGAAGCCGUGAACUACAAGUUCAAGCGGGAAAAGGGCAUGCUAACAAACUAAAUCACAAACACUCGAUCUUGACGCGGAUCUAAUUCUAAAUACAAAUGAUCUAUAAAUACCUAGAUUAUAUUCGUAUGAAAAUAUAAGCGAGACGCAUGAUUCGGAUUGAGCUCUCUGCGUGCAAUUCCUUAUUUGUAGGGCUAAGGAAGAAAAAAAGUCUUCUUUAUAACAGAUACGCCACCUAAGAUAGUAAAAUAUUAUAAUCGAUUAAAGAGAUUUUUUAUUGGAUAUUGUUAUUUUUAUAUGUUGUACUUAAGUUAAAAUGGCUACAUAAAUACAAUGCCCAGUCCAAGUGUAGUCAAAAGUUUUUUUUUUUUUGAGAGAUAGGCAGCACGCUACCCGCUUUGAUGUGAAUCAACUAGGAUUCGAAUUUGGGUCUCGAGUACCAACCAUCAACCCCUUUGCCACUUGCUCUAGAGACGGUCGGUUGUAGUCAAAAGUUUUUGAGCCCAACAACUUCUUAUGGGCAGCAAUUGUAAUUGGCCCUAACAAUCUAAAUUAGCAAUAAAUAGGAAAUUAAUCAACCACUUCAUAUUCUACAAACUAUAAAUAUAGUUUGGUGCCUCAGAAAUGUAUGAAAAAAAAAUUAAAUUCAAAGAUUUUCAAUUUUUCGCCCGUUUAGUUUGAAGGAAAACAAGUAUUUUUUAACAUCUUUUUUUCUUGUUUUUUAUAAGAAAGUAACAUUUUCGUUUUCUAGAUUUAUUUUUUAAGAAAACGAAAAUACUAGUUUUCUACAAAAUAUGAAAAAAAAAAAGUUUUCUAUAAAACCUUGUUUUCUUUAGAACCAAAUGGACGAAAAUUCAAAAAAAGGUUUUUUAAUGGAAAUUUUUUUCUUGAAAAUUCUUUUUCCACACUUUUCCGAUGAACUGUUUGGUUCUUUGUAAAAGUGCAACAAAAAAUUUUCAAGUAAAAAGUAUUUUAUUUUAUUUUAUUUUUUUCAGUUUUUUGCCUUUUUAGUUCUCAGAAAAACUAGUUUUUUCGGAAAACUUUUCUUUCAAAUUUUAUAGAAUACUAGUAUUUUCAUUUUUCCUAAAAAAUUUGGAAAACGAAAACAUUACUUGAUCAUAAAAUCGGAAAAAGCUUUCCGAAAAAACUUUGAAACUACAAUUUUUUUGUGGAAAACAUUUUACACAAUUUUUUUUUGAUAUUUUUUCAAGCAAUCAAACAACCCCUAAAGCAACAAUUUAUUACGGAAUGAGACAUAAUAAUGCAAUAUGAAUAUAAUAACUUACGGAACUUACUUGUGCUAUGGACCAUUUUGAAUCGACUACCUAAUCUUUUAAAAAUUUAAUUUUGCUACCCAAAAUUUUAAUUUAUUUGAUUUGAGUAAGUCAACAGCACUUUAAUUAAUACAUUAGGGUAAUUUAUACAAUUCUCACAACUAUUAAUACAUUAAAGUAACUAGAUCAAAUUUUAAAGUUAAAGUACCGUAGACUUUACCUCUAAUCAAACAAAUUGAAAUAUUGGAUAAUAAAAUCAAAAUAUCGAAAGGUUGGAUAGUAGAUUCAAAAUAAUCUAUAGUUCAGAUAAGUUAUGCAUGUUUUAACCUAAAUUUAUGGCCCGGAUUAAGCUCGUAGACCGACUUUGGGCUCGGUUCAGAUCAAAUCGAGUCCGAUCAAUGAUGGGCCGAGCCAAAUCGAACCACAUUAGGGUAAAAAGUUGGGCUCUUAAUUGCAUGAGCCCAACCCAAUGAUGUAUAUUUAAGCUUCACCAUGUUUAACUUAAAUAGGAUCAACCUUGUAACUUGUAAGAGGCAAAAAAUUAAAUAAAAAGUGUCCCCUGUACUCCACUAAACUAUAUUAAUUUUGUAUAUCAACUUCUGCUGAGAAGACGGGUUUAUAGUAAAAACUCGAUUCGACGCUUCCGUUGGAAAACUUCAACAUUCGGUAUCGAAUCAACAGCAGUCAAUAUCGGAGUGAGUUGCAGAUUCUUAAAAUUCGGUACUAGGACACGUAUUCGAUUCCCAACAUAUUAUAACUUACUAAAAGCUUGUUUUGCACAAUAGUUUUGUUCAAGGUAUUUUUUAUUGUGCAUAUUAGAAGGGUUAAGUUCUUUUAUCCUUUCUAUUACUUCCUUUGGCAUCAUAAUCAUUUUUUAAAUUUUUCUAAAAUAACAAUUGUAUAUAAUUCGAUACGCUAGAAGAAGAACUUGUUAGUGUAUAUUGUAAUAGUAAAAGUGAGAAAACAACUUGAAAUUUAAAUAUUAAAAUUAACGAAUGAUUGUGUGGUUUUAUUCAAUUAGUUAUUUUUGUGAAAAAUGUCUUUUUGUUUAGAGUUAAUUUCAUUCAGGUCUCUAUAGACAUAGUAAAUUGUAAGUAUAUCUCUACAAAGUUCAACUUUCAUAUAUUGUACCUACAAAAGUCCUGAUGUUUUUAGAUAUAUUUUUGCCGUUAGAAUCCGUUAGAAAAAAUUAGUUAACCAUAGGUAAAGUACUUAAUCUUAGUUAGUUAAUAAGGUAAAUUGAUCUUUUUAUCCAUUUACAAUUAACAUUUGGGAUUUUUGGAGGGACACAUUUGUGAUGGCAAAAAAAUUAUUUCAUUUAUAAAAUAAACAGUGGUUUAACGAUAACAAACUAGAGGGAUAUAUUUGAAAAUAUUAAAAUUUUUGUAGGGACAACAUAUAAAAGUUAAAUUUUGUAGAAAUAUAUUUACAGUUCACUAUAUUUGUAAGGACUUGUAUGAAAUUAAUCCUUUUGUGUAUUAUGAAAAGAUGUUUUUUUUUAUAAAAGGAUAUGUCUCGUUACGAAGGGACACAUCUCUCUAAUAUUUACUUUAGCAUCCUGUACUUUAAAAAAUUUUAGUUUGUCCACCUUGUGGUUUAGGGUGUGUUUGGAUCCUCGUAAAACAGCUCGGAAAAGUAUUUUUCGGUUGAAAAAUUAAUUUCCCAUUGUUUGGUUGUCUGUAAAAAAUUUGUUGGGAAAAUUUAUUUUACAGAUUUUCAAAAAACGAGCCUUUUUCGUUUUCCGCUCGCGUCCGGCGGAAAACGAAAACCUCCCGCGUUGAAAAAUCGCGGCGCACGAGUUAUUAGCACGCGGUCCACGAGGUGAACUUUCCCUCGUGGACCGCGUGAGAGAGAGUCCACGAGGGACCGGACCCCUGGACUCUCUCUCUCAUUCAUUAUGUGUGUGUAAUAUAUAUAAUAAUAUAUAUAUAUAUAUAUAUAUAUUAUUAUAGAAAGUUGAGGCUAUGAUACUUUUACAAGUAUCACAUUAUGGUGCUAUGAGGUUUUAAGUCAUUGAUCUACUUUUUGAUUUAUAAUAGCCCUUGGAUCUUAAACACUAUUCCACUGCUACAGACACCACCUACCAACACCUACCACAAUCAUCUCAACCUCGUACAUCUCUCCAUCCAAGGGCUAAAAACACACAAACGUAUCACCCCCAUCGAUACUUUACAAGUUAUUCUACGACGCUACUCUCUCUCCUCUCACCGUCUCGCUCUCUCUCUCUCGUCCUCUCUCUAUAUAUAUAGUUAUAUAUAAUAAUAUAAUAUAAAAUAAUUUUAUUUUUAUAUAAAUCUAUUACUAUAUAAUAUUAUUAUAAAUAUCUAUUAUAUAAUAUAUAGUGAAUAUAUAGUACUAAAUAUAAAUAUACUAUUAUGUAUUAUUUAUAUACUUAUUGUAUUAUAUAUUUCAAUUUAUUUACUUAUAAAAAACCUAUAAUAAUAAUAUAAUAUGUAUAUUAAAUAUAUAAAUAUAUAAUCAUAAAAAGAAUAUAUAAUAGUUUUCUAUUUGAUUUUCAUCCUUUUUCGAUCAUUAUAUUAUAUAUAUAUAUAUAUUAGUUAUAAAUAUAUAUUCAUUUAUUAUAUAUAUUCAUUUAUUUUUAUAUAGAAAUAUUAUUAUAUAAUAUUUUAUUUCUAAAUUUGUAAUUAUUUAUUAAUAUUUUUAAAUAUAUAACUCUUAUAUAUUAUGUAAUAUAUUUAUUAUAAUUUUAAAUAUAUUUAAUCUAUAUAUCAAAAUUAUAAUAAUAAUAUAUAUAGUAUAUUAAUUAUUAUACAAUAAUAAUAUAUACAAUAAAAAAUAUAUUAAACCGGUUUUCAUCUAUUUUCUUUUCCUUUCAACCAAACAACCAUCAUGAAAAACUAUUUUUCUUUUUCUACAAACCAAACACUAAAAUACGUAAAACUUUUUUUCCACCGAAAAUUUUUUUUCCCAGUUUUACGUCGAACCAAACAGCCCCUUAGUUUUUUUCACCAAAAAAAAAAUUACCAUGUGAAAUAGGGUGAUAUAACGAGAAUUUUAAAGAAACUAUAAGGCGGCAAAGUGAAAAGUGCACUAAACCACAAAGAGCAUAGUGAAACUUUUUAAAUGACGGAGCGACAAAGUGAAAUUAAUGAGUUGUAAAUUUUAAGAUUAACCUAAAAAAUUUAAAGCUUGUGGAACGACCUGACAUCUUCUUCUUCUUUUUCCUGAUAUUUUGAGCAAGACAUUACUAUUCCUUUUGUAGAUUCCAAAAACAAAGAGUCAUUUAUAUACAAAAAUGAUACAUCAACUAAAUUUAUUGGCCAAUUUGCAUAAAAAAUCCACUUAUUUUGCAGUCAAACGACUUUUUCGCCUGGCUUAGACGUUUUUGCUUUUUCCACCGGGUUAAAACGUUUUCGGNNNNNNNNNNNNNNNNNNNNNNNNNNNNNNNNNNNNNNNNNNNNNNNNNNNNNNNNNNNNNNNNNNNNNNNNNNNNNNNNNNNNNNNNNNNNNNNNNNNNNNNNNNNNNNNNNNNNNNNNNNNNNNNNNNNNNNNNNNNNNNNNNNNNNNNNNNNNNNNNNNNNNNNNNNNNNNNNNNNNNNNNNNNNNNNNNNNNNNNNNNNNNNNNNNNNNNNNNNNNNNNNNNNNNNNNNNNNNNNNNNNNNNNNNNNNNNNNNNNNNNNNNNNNNNNNNNNNNNNNNNNNNNNNNNNNNNNNNNNNNNNNNNNNNNNNNNNNNNNNNNNNNNNNNNNNNNNNNNNNNNNNNNNNNNNNNNNNNNNNNNNNNNNNNNNNNNNNNNNNNNNNNNNNNNNNNNNNNNNNNNNNNNNNNNNNNNNNNNNNNNNNNNNNNNNNNNNNNNNNNNNNNNNNNNNNNNNNNNNNNNNNNNNNNNNNNNNNNNNNNNNNNNNNNNNNNNNNNNNNNNNNNNNNNNNNNNNNNNNNNNNNNNNNNNNNNNNNNNNNNNNNNNNNNNNNNNNNNNNNNNNNNNNNNNNNNNNNNNNNNNNNNNNNNNNNNNNNNNNNNNNNNNNNNNNNNNNNNNNNNNNNNNNNNNNNNNNNNNNNNNNNNNNNNNNNNNNNNNNNNNNNNNNNNNNNNNNNNNNNNNNNNNNNNNNNNNNNNNNNNNNNNNNNNNNNNNNNNNNNNNNNNNNNNNNNNNNNNNNNNNNNNNNNNNNNNNNNNNNNNNNNNNNNNNNNNNNNNNNNNNNNNNNNNNNNNNNNNNNNNNNNNNNNNNNNNNNNNNNNNNNNNNNNNNNNNNNNNNNNNNNNNNNNNNNNNNNNNNNNNNNNNNNNNNNNNNNNNNNNNNNNNNNNNNNNNNNNNNNNNNNNNNNNNNNNNNNNNNNNNNNNNNNNNNNNNNNNNNNNNNNNNNNNNNNNNNNNNNNNNNNNNNNNNNNNNNNNNNNNNNNNNNNNNNNNNNNNNNNNNNNNNNNNNNNNNNNNNNNNNNNNNNNNNNNNNNNNNNNNNNNNNNNNNNNNNNNNNNNNNNNNNNNNNNNNNNNNNNNNNNNNNNNNNNNNNNNNNNNNNNNNNNNNNNNNNNNNNNNNNNNNNNNNNNNNNNNNNNNNNNNNNNNNNNNNNNNNNNNNNNNNNNNNNNNNNNNNNNNNNNNNNNNNNNNNNNNNNNNNNNNNNNNNNNNNNNNNNNNNNNNNNNNNNNNNNNNNNNNNNNNNNNNNNNNNNNNNNNNNNNNNNNNNNNNNNNNNNNNNNNNNNNNNNNNNNNNNNNNNNNNNNNNNNNNNNNNNNNNNNNNNNNNNNNNNNNNNNNNNNNNNNNNNNNNNNNNNNNNNNNNNNNNNNNNNNNNNNNNNNNNNNNNNNNNNNNNNNNNNNNNNNNNNNNNNNNNNNNNNNNNNNNNNNNNNNNNNNNNNNNNNNNNNNNNNNNNNNNNNNNNNNNNNNNNNNNNNNNNNNNNNNNNNNNNNNNNNNNNNNNNNNNNNNNNNNNNNNNNNNNNNNNNNNNNNNNNNNNNNNNNNNNNNNNNNNNNNNNNNNNNNNNNNNNNNNNNNNNNNNNNNNNNNNNNNNNNNNNNNNNNNNNNNNNNNNNNNNNNNNNNNNNNNNNNNNNNNNNNNNNNNNNNNNNNNNNNNNNNNNNNNNNNNNNNNNNNNNNNNNNNNNNNNNNNNNNNNNNNNNNNNNNNNNNNNNNNNNNNNNNNNNNNNNNNNNNNNNNNNNNNNNNNNNNNNNNNNNNNNNNNNNNNNNNNNNNNNNNNNNNNNNNNNNNNNNNNNNNNNNNNNNNNNNNNNNNNNNNNNNNNNNNNNNNNNNNNNNNNNNNNNNNNNNNNNNNNNNNNNNNNNNNNNNNNNNNNNNNNNNNNNNNNNNNNNNNNNNNNNNNNNNNNNNNNNNNNNNNNNNNNNNNNNNNNNNNNNNNNNNNNNNNNNNNNNNNNNNNNNNNNNNNNNNNNNNNNNNNNNNNNNNNNNNNNNNNNNNNNNNNNNNNNNNNNNNNNNNNNNNNNNNNNNNNNNNNNNNNNNNNNNNNNNNNNNNNNNNNNNNNNNNNNNNNNNNNNNNNNNNNNNNNNNNNNNNNNNNNNNNNNNNNNNNNNNNNNNNNNNNNNNNNNNNNNNNNNNNNNNNNNNNNNNNNNNNNNNNNNNNNNNNNNNNNNNNNNNNNNNNNNNNNNNNNNNNNNNNNNNNNNNNNNNNNNNNNNNNNNNNNNNNNNNNNNNNNNNNNNNNNNNNNNNNNNNNNNNNNNNNNNNNNNNNNNNNNNNNNNNGAAGAAGAAGAAGAAGAAGAAGAAGAAGAAGAAGAGGGAAAAAAAAAAAGGUGCUCCAGCAGGAGGAAGAAGAAGAAGAAAAAGAAAAAGAGAAGAAAAAAUUGCUCCGUUUGGCCUUCGCUUUUUUUUUCCGGCGGAAAAAAAAGGAACGAUAGAACGAAGAGGAGAGAGAAAGAGGAAAGAGAAAAAGUAAUAAGGGUAUUUUGGUCAGUUUGCUGAAAAAGCGGACCGAAUUUGCAAAAACGAAAAAUGUGGCCCGAUUUUGCAAAAGCCCAAAAUAAGUGAAUUUUUUAUGCAAAUUGGCCAAAUUUAUUUGCAUAUAUUUUAUUAAGAUAAAAAUUCUAUGAAGCACUUCCUAUAGAAUAAAGUACUAAAGAAUAUAUAGCUUAAAGAAUAUAUAGCUUAAGUUGAUGAAAUUAGUGUUCCAAUGAUAGAUUGGAUGGAGGAUACCUAACCCCUCCCAUUUAGUAAAAAGAAUAAUAUCUAACAUGUUGACUUAAAUAGGCCAGCAUCCAGUCCUACGACAGGAGACCAAGUGGGCCGAGUCACAUUCAAAAUGACGUAAGGCUGGGUUGAGUCGAGUCAUAUUCGAAGUUGCGUAAGUCUGGAAGGGUCGACUCACAAUCGAGACCUAUGGGCGCUGUAUCUAUACGCUUUAAGUAAAUUAGUUACGUAUUUCUAACAGCUUAAGUUUUUGAGAUUAAUGAUUAGCGUCAACGAUCCAACAUAACAUACUCUCUAGAAUUUCAAAAAUAUCUAAUAUAUUUCUGAUUGGCCAAAAUACCAUUCUUGAUUUUCACAAAUUUCUCUACAUUCCCAAAUCUUUAAUGAGAUUUGAAUUUAAAAAGAUAUUUUAAUAAUUUAUGAAUAAAUUUUAAAAAUUUUGAAUAAUAAUUAGAAAUAAAUAAGAAAAAGCCCCCUCAUAAAACAACAAGAGAGCGUGGACAAGAGAAUAACAAAGGUUGGAUGCAAACAUUUCCAAUGUCGCUAUCUUUAUUUUGAUAAAUUUAUAGUUGCGAAAUUACAUGCAGUAUAUAUUAAUUAUUUUUUUUAAGAAUAAAUGACAUAUUAAAAUUUUGAGGUCAUAUUACUAUUGACUCUAUCAAAUCAAAUAAAUUAAAAGACUGGAUAAUUUUAUUAAUAUUUUUAGAGAUUAGAUAGCGAAAUAAAAAAUAUUUUAUAGUCUCGAAAAAUUAUGUAUAUUUUUUUUAAUAUUAGAAAUUUAAAAAGCGUGCCUAAAAUUUAACUCUUUUGAAUGUAAUAGUGUGAGUUCCAAAUAACAUUUCUAAAAAAGUAAUCACCCCGCUUUAGGUCUGUUUGGUCUAGAAAUUGGAUAAGUAGUUUUAACAGAAUUGAUUUUGGAUUAAAAAAUUAAUUUUGGUUAAAAGCUGUAGUCUGUAGAGCGGUUGGAUAAGUUUAGAAGAAAAGCGAUUUUUUUAAGUAAUUUUGUAAAACUGUUUGAUUUUUCUUUUUGUUGGCGAAUAAUAAAUUUUUUACUAAUUCUAUUUUAAAAUAUUUCAAAAUUUUAAAAAUUUAAAAUCUAAAUUUUAUAUUUUAAAAUUUGACAUUUGAUAUUUUGAAUUUAGAAAUUUAAAAUCUAAUAUUUUAAAUUUUUACAUUUUUUAAAAUUAAAAUCUAAAUUUAAUAUUUAAAAAUAAAUUUUUAAAUUUGAAAUUUAAAAUCAAUAUGUGAAUGUUGAAAUUUAAAAUUUAAAAUUUAAAAUUUAAAAUUUAAUAUUUAAAACAUAAAAUUUUAAAUUUUAAAUUUUAAAUUUGAACUUAAAUUUAAAUUUUGAAUCCAAAAUUAAAGUUUAAAUUUAAAGUUCGAUGCGUCCAACAUUAAAAUCAAAUAUUUAAAAGCACGUUUUAACAGUUUCUAAUUUUAAAAAACUGAUUGUAAAAAUCAGAAUCAGAUUCUGAAAUAGAGAGUAUGAAACGCUCUAUUGACGAAAAAAUAAAAAUAAAAAAAAAAUCGCUUGUGCUCCAAAAAUCAGUAUUAAAAAAUAGGCCAAAAACCCAUUUAAAUAUUUGUGCAAAACGGUUUAAUUUGAUAAUAAGAGACUAAAAUUUCUACCGAUCGAGGGAGCCACACAGAGGAACAAAUUAAAAAACAAAUUAAACUUUACACACUCUCCUGAUCUCCUCCUUUAAUUACUAUAUAUAUAUAUAUAUAUAUAAAUAAUAAAGUCUUAACUAAAAAUGCAAUAAUUCCCUCACUCACUCACCGCGCGCGCUGCACAAUCUCGAUCUGCGUGCAGGCUCGUCAGCUCGCGCCACCUCCGGCGGGUGCCGUCGCCGUCUGCAGGCAGCAGCUGGCGCGGCACGUCGGGCACGACUGGCGCCGGGCGGGGGCGGCGGUGGCUGUGGCGGCAGACUGCAGCCACCAGCUCUCGACGCAGCCGCCGUGGAAUCCGUGGGCGCAGGCCGGCAGCACCCUCACCCGGUCCCCCUCCGCGAACUCCGUCAGGCAUAUCGCGCACUCCGACGACUUCACCGCAGACGCCGACGAGAACGUGAGCAGGACCGACGGCGGCGGCGGAGGCGGCAGCUGCUGUUGGUCCUGCUGCUGCUUCUCGGGGUCGGCGUCGGCAGGCUGGGGGUGUUGGCGGUUGCGGCGGCGGUGGCGGGAGAGGAGGAAGCGGAUGGCGGCGUUGGCGGAUAAGGCGAGGGCGACGGCGGCGAAGAGGGCGGCGAGAAUGAUGCCCAUGUUGGCGCCGAAGUCAGCGGCGCCGGCGUAUGGGCCCCAAUUGCUCUUGCUGUUGCUGUUGGUGGUGGUGGUGGUGGUGGUGGUGGACAUGGUGUAAUUGAUGUAUAGUAGAAGAGUGUUAGUGAAAGAGAGAUUGAGAUAGAGAGAGAAAGUGAGAGAGAGGAGGAGAGAGUAUAUAGCAAGGGUGUCAUUUUAUAACCCGUUUCUCCUUUUUGAUCUUUAGGAAUGCGGACCCUAGAAUUGAAUUGAGUGGUCCCCACGGGAUAACACUAUUAAUUCAAAGAUUGAAAAUGAUCAAAAUAAUUGAUUUAAGAGCCGAAAAUUUCAAAGCAUCAAAUUUUCUAUACUCUCGAUAGCGUGUGUAUAUAUAUAUAUAUAUAUAUACCUGUCAAGUGUGGUCUAUUUUAAAUGGACUAUCUAAUUUUUUUAGAAAUUAAUUUUACUAUUUAAUUUUUUGAUUUAUUUAAUUUGAGUUGAUUUGUCUUACUUCGAGCUACAGCAAAAGCUCUCUGGUACAAGAAUAUAACGGUAAUACAGAUAGUAUUUUUAAGAAGUACUAUCAAUAUAUCAGCACAUUUAAGUUGUCGUGUAUAUCUUACAUUUCAUUUCAUUUCGUUCGCGGGGUGGGACGGAUUUACUAGUUAUGUGAGGUGACUAGUGAAAGACUCUCAUCACUGGUCGAAUGAAAAUGUAUGGUAUAUACCAUUUUUAGGGUGUGUUAGUAGCAUUGCUAGUGUAUAGUUACUUGGUGAAAGUGUAAUGAGACACCCCCAACUACAUUUUAUUUUGCCCUUAAUUUUAUAACCUUGCUUCAAUAUGUGGAUAAUUUGUUCAAUAUAUCUUUUUAAAUUACUUAAGAACUAGCGUAAAAGAUUUGAUAGACAAAGAGUGUAAUUAAAUAUCUAGAAUGACAUACCAAAUUUGAUCUUUAAGUCAGUUUUUUUAAAAUAAAAUAACUCAUCUUGUGGAUAAAAUAUGCAACAACUGGAUAUAACUAAGUAACUCAGUUUUAAUUUACUUGAAAGUGGUUAUAGUCUCUAUAUUUGACAGAAUAUAUAGCCAUUGAAUUUAACAAAAUUUUAAAUAGAGUUAUCAAAUUUAUUUAAUUUAAAAAACUAAAAUUAAAAGAGACAUGUAUUUUGUAAGAAAUUGAAGUAAUUUUACAUUUUUAUGUAUUUAGGUUGUUGGAUUGUCCCCUUGCUUUCCUUUUCACCAAAAUGAAUUCUGAAUAGAGAGGUGAAAGUGAUGGUUUAUGUAUGCCAAUUGCUUUAAAGAAAUUAACCUUUACUCUUUGGGGUGACAAGGGAGAGCUCAUCUUUCUUUUUUUUUUCUUUUUUUUUUUUGUGUGUGCUUUGUGUUUGCUUGCCUUUAUAUCAUCCUAAUCUCUAAACUAUCCACUACAACUAAUCCAAUUGUACAUCAUGGGCAAACAAAUUUUAAAAAUAAUAUAUCCUCAACACCCACCAAGUUACAAAAUGAUAAAAAUUUAUGAGUGCAACUUGUGUGAUUUUAGAAGUACAGUACAUAGUCUCCGUGUUAUCAAAUUAUUUUCAAUUUUGGAACUUUCGAAUCGACGAUUUGCUCCGUUAGAUUUGAUCAAGAAUACUGAGAGCAUCUAGAAAAUAAAUUUCGUGAUUUUUCUGUUUCAUUUUCCUAGUAAUCAAAAGAGCUCAAAAUCAAAAAUAAAAAAAAGUGAAUAAUCCUUUUGCUUUAUCUGGUUCUAGAACCUUAACACUAAUUAAUUUUUUUCUAGUGUCAUUUUUCUUCUUUAUUAUAUGUUGUAUGUUGUGAUAUUUUAAACAAGAAAUUACACUUUGAUUUUUAAAAAAUUAUAUAUAUAUAUAUAUAUAUAUAUAUAUAUAUAUAUAUAUAGAGUUGGACUGGGCUACUAUUAGUANGGUAGUGAAAGUGGAGAGAUAAGUCUUAAGUAAAACCACUUUUCCUUUCGUUCCCCUGUUAGGUUGUUGGAUUUAUGUAUUUUUACAUUUUAAUGAAGUUAAAGAAUGUUUUAUGUACAGAGAAAAUUAAAAUCAAAAAAUUUAAUUUAUUUAAACUAUUGAGAUAAAUUUUAAAACAAUUUAAGUUACCGAUAUAUAAGACAGUUUAUAUCUCUGAUAUUGGUGAAAGUUCAUUUAAUUUUGACUCAAUGAAUCAAUAUAGGUCAACAACGUAUAAAAUAGGUGUUCUACUCAAUAAAAUAAAAUUUUUUUGACUGAAUUUCUAGUUUAAACCAUACAGUAAGAUCUAUAAAUUAAUGUGAGAAACAGAUAGUUUAGAUUUAUGUAUGCCAAUUGCUUUAAAGAAAUUAACCUUUACUCUUUGGGGUGACAAGGGAGAGCUCAUCUUUUUUUUUUUUUAUUUUUUUGUGUGCUUUGUGUUUGCUUGCCGUUAUAUCAUCCUAAUCUCUAACUAUCCACUACAACUAAUCCAAUUGUACAUCAUGGGCAAAAAAAUUUUAAAAAAAAUAUAUCCUCAACACCCACCAAGCUACAAAAUGAUAAAAAUUUAUGAGCGCAGCUUGUGUGUUUUUAGAAGUAUAGUACGUAGUCUCCGUGUUAUCAAAUUAUUUUUAAUUUUGGAACUUCCAAAUUGAUGAUUUGCUUCGUUAGACUUAAUCAAGAAUGCUGAGAGCAUCUAGAAAAUAAAUUUCGUGAUUUUUCUGUUUUAUUUCCCUAGUAAUCAAAAGAGCUCAAAAUCAAAAAUAAAAAAGUGAAUAAUCCUUAAUUUUGCUUUAUUCGGUUCUAGAACCUUAACACUAAUUUUUUCUAGUGUCAUUUUUCUUCUUUAUUAUAUGUUGUAUGCUGUGAUAUUUUAAACAAAAAAUUAUACUUUGAUUUUAAAAAAAUUAUAUAUAUAUUAAUUAUUUGUGGUUGAAUUGUUGAAAAGUGUAAGAACAGAAAGAAAAAAAAUAAAAAAAUAGUACCCUAUAGUAGGUAAUUCGUAUUCUCGUCCGCGCAGCCACGGGUGGGUAUUGAUAAAGAUAAUGGCUGCCCAAAAAUAUAUGGGUAAAUUCUAUCUAUGCCCGUAUAAUUCGUUAGUACAAUGAUCUGCCGGUGAAUUGCCUAAUCCAUCUGUUUACUGGGUCUAAUAAUAGUAUCCUAACUCAAAUUCAUGAUUAUUGCUGUUGUUGCUUGUUACCACUGCAUAUUAGGCAAAAUAUCAAAUAGGAUCUAAGUUAGCAGAGAAGACAUGGUCAAGUGGCAAUGCAAGGAGUUGGUCCCCAAACUAAAUUAAAUGAAAUUAAAAUGACAGUGCCCUAGAGAGCAAGGAACUCAUACAAUGCUUGGGCCCUCUACAAUAAAAAGAGCAAUAACAACUAAACAAGGAGUGGGGUCAAGCAUGGGACAUUCACUUGUAUAGAAGCUAAAACCAUGGGAACUUAUCCAAAGGGAGCUAGGGAAUGUCAAAACCAUGGGAACUUAUCCAAUUAGGGAAACUAGGAAUGUCAUAAAUUACAUAUAUCCGAAAUUUUAUUCGAAUGUGAAUUUUAAUGGACCAAAUUUAUCGAUGGAUAUAAUUUCGGAUAAGAAUAUAAAAAACAAAAAUCCGACCGAUAUGGAUUUGAAUUCGGAUAUAAAUUAUGUCUAUAUCCGACCCAAACACGAACCCGAAUUAAUUUUACAUUAUAUAUAUAUAGUUGGGCUGGAGUACUAUUGAUAGUAUUUGACUCAUUUUGCUAUCAAGUUUUUAACCCUUAGAUGAGAAAUUGUAGGGUUAGGAUGAUAUUAGUCACUUAGGGUUGAACAGUCCCCCUAGGAUGAGUGGUCCACAUUGGGUAAUAAUAUUUAAUUCAAUGAUUAGAAAUGAUCAAAAUAAUUGAUCCAAAAGCUAAAAACUUGAUACCAAAAGAAGGCAAAUAUUAUUAAUAAUAUUAUAGUCCAACUCAUAUAUAUUAGAAUUUGUAUUUUGAAAAUUUAGAUUUAAUAUAAAUGUUUUGAAAUACGGUAAAAAAAAUAAUUUGGGUUUGAGUUUUUGGGUCCGGGUCCAGGUCCGGGUCCAGGUUCGGGUUCAGGUUUGAAUUUUGAAUUUUUGAUCGGGUUAAUUCGGAUUUGAACAUGAACUUUUAAAAUCCGUUAGAUUCGGAUUCAAAUUUGGAUUUUUAAUUCGGUAGUUAGAAUCAGCUUCAAGCUUUUGAAAACUCGCCCCGAAUCCAACCCGUUAACAUCCCUAAGAAAAACUACCCAAAAGGAAUCAGAACAAUUUCAUAUAUAGCCUUCUUAAUUAGCUAUCCAAUUUAGAGCAAUGCUAUUGGUACAUUCCAAAAUAGAGUGUAUAUUUUAUACCCACUCCGGUUAAUGUUACUAGAUCUACUUGUCACAUCAACGUUUUUUUAGUUUUACUAAAAAUUACUUGACAUUUUUACUGAUCGAUUCAUUAUGNAAUAUAUAUAUAUAUAUAUAUAUAUAUAUAUAUAUAUAUAUAUAUAUAUAUAUAUAUAUAUAUAUAUAUAUAUUAUUUGUGGUCGAAAAGUAUAAGAACAGAAAGAAAAUAAUAAUAAAGAAAAUAGUACCCUAUAGGUAACACUCGUAUACUCGUCCGCGCAUCCGCGGGCGGGUAUUGAUAAAGAUGAUGGCUGCCCAAAAAUAUGUGGGUAAAUUCUAUCUAUGCCCGUAUAAUUCGUGAGUACAAUGACCUGCCCGUGAAUUGCCUAAUCCAUUCGUUUACUGGGUCUAAUAAUAGUAUCCUAGCACAAAAUUCAUGAUUAUUGCUGUUGUUGCUUGUUACCACUGCAUAUUAGGCAAAAUAUCAAAUAGGAUCUAAGUUAGUAGAGAAGACAUGGUCAAGUGGCAAUGCAAGGAGUUGGUCCCCAAACUAAAUUAAAUGAAAUUAAAAUGACAGUGCCCUAGAGAGCAAGGAACUCAUACAAUGCUUGGGCCCUCUACAAUAAAAAGAGCAAUAACAACUAAACAAGGAGUGGGGUCAAGCAUGGGACAUUCACUUGUAUAGAAGCUAAAACCAUGGGAACUUAUCCAAAGGGAGCUAGGGAAUGUCAAAACCAUUGGAACUUAUCCAAUUAGGGAAACUAGGAAUGUCAUAAAUUACAUAUAUCCGAAAUUUUAUUGGAAUGUGAAUUUUAAUGGACCAAAUUUAUCGAUGGAUAUAAUUUUGGAUAAGAAUAAAAAAAACAAAAAUCCGACCGAUAUGGAUUUGAAUUCAGAUAUAAAUUAUGUCUAUAUCCGACCCAAACACGAACCCGAAUUAAUUUUACAUUAUAUAUAUAUAGUUGGGCUGGAGUACUAUUGAUAGUAUUUGACUCAUUUUGCUAUCAAGUUUUUAACCUUUAGAUGAGAAAUUGUAGGGUUAGGAUGAUAUUAGUCACUUAGGGUUGAACAGUCCCCCUAGGAUUGAGUGGUCCACAUUGGGUUAUAAUAUUUAAUCCAAUGAUUAGAAAUGAUCAAAAUAAUUGAUCCAAAAGCUAAAAACUUGAUACCAAAAGAAGGCAAAUAUUAUUAAUAAUAUUAUAGUCCAACUCAUAUAUAUUAGAAUUUGUAUUUUGAAAAUUUAGAUUUAAUAUAAAUGUUUUGAAAUACGGUAAAAAAAAUAAUUUGGGUUUGAGUUUUUGGGUCCGGGUCCAGGUUCGGGGUCAGGUUUGAAUUUUGAAUUUUUGAUCGGGUUAAUUCGGAUUUGAACAUGAACUUUUAAAAUCCGUUAGAUUCGGAUUCAAAUUUGGAUUUUUAAUUCAGUAGUUAGAAUCAGCUUCAAGCUUUUGAAAACUCGCCCCGAAUCCAACCCGUCAACAUCCCUAAGAAAAACUACCCAAAAGGAAUCAGAACAAUUUCAUAUAUAGCCUUCUUAAUUAGCUAUCCAAUUUAGAGCAAUGCUAUUGUUACAUUUUAAAAUGGAGUGUAUAUUUUAUACCCGCUCCGGUUAAUGUUACUAGAUCUACUUGUCACAUCAACGUUUUUUUAGUUUUACUAAAAAUUACUUGACAUUUUUACUGAUAGAUUCAUUAUGACAUUGUCAGAAAAUAGUUUUUCUUUUUUCUUUUUUCUUUUUUAGAACUUAGAAUUUAUGUUUUACAUGUAUAGAAUGACAAGGAAGUUAGGUUAAAAACAUUAGACAUAAAUGAUGUUAAAUGUAAAUCAAGGUUGUAAAUAAAAACAAUGGAUAUUUUUGUAGAAAAAAGUAAAUUUUAAUUGGUCAAUAAUGGAGAGGAACAUAUUUGCAGCUAUUGGAGGGAUAUAUUUAAUAACUAAAGAGGGAUAAAUAUAUAAGUUCACUACUUUGUAGGGAUUCAUUUGCAAUUAUUCUCUGAAUAGCUAGAAGUAACAUCAAUUACAUCAUGCAUGCAUGCUCCUCUGAAUAGUUAAAACUAUCACAGAUAUUUAAGUAGUAAACAUCUAUUGGAACUCCAACACAUGAAGUUGUAGGAGAUAGUAAAAAUUUGGCUAAAUUGCACUUUUGGUCCUCAAACUAUGAGAUCCGCGAUAUUUAAGUUUUAAAACUUUAAUUUAUCAUAAUUUUCAGCUUGAGUUUUUUGCAUUAUUACAAUCAAGUUCCACAACUCAAUUUAAUUAACUAAAUAUUAAUAUGUCGUUAAUAUCAAAAUGAUGUUGCGGUAUUAUGAUUGAUGAUAUGAUAAUAAUUAAAAUAUUACAUUACUUUCAUAUCAGCGAUUAAUACAACAUUAAUAUUUAGACAAUUAUUUUGGGUUGUGAAAUUGGAUUGCAAUAAUAUAUAAAAUUGGAGCAAAAAAUUAUAAUAAAUCACAAUUUAAGGUCCAAAAUGAGUUUACAGCACUUAUGCGAUAUAUACCGACCAUCUCUAAAGCAAGUGACAAAUGACUUAAUAGUUGGUACCCGAGAUCCUUAAUUUGAAACUUAGUUGAUUCACAUUUCCAUCUAAAUUUAUUUCUAAAAAAUAAAAAACGAAACAAAUAUCAUGUUAUCUUUCUCUCAGAAAAGAAAAAAUAAAAAUAAAAAUAAAAAAACACUUAUCUGAUAUAUGCUCACUUUGCUUAUUUCUUUCUACCAGACACAGCUAGUUAAAAAUAGAAGCCUCACUCAAAAUCUAGUAGCAACUAGAAACAAACACAUGCAUGGGUUUUCUCUCUCAUUGGAUUCUCAAUUUAUCUGAAACACUAGCUAGUAUCUUUUUUCUCUCUCAAUAAGUCACACUAGGACCACUCUUAUCAAUGUUUGUACUUAUAUAUAUAUAUAUACAAUUAUGAUCAAACUAGAUCAUCUAACAAAUAGAAUUAAUAAGCUAGUUCAUGAGCUAUGUAACAAGUGAAUUAGUCCUUAAUCUCCUCAGUUUCAUGAGUUCGUGGCUUGGAUCACCGGUAAAUUGAUUGACUCGAUCAUCAUACAUUUGUCUAUGGCAUUGCACGUGAGAUGAUGUAUCUGAUCUUUACACUUUUCUCUAACAUAUCAGUUUAUUAUGCCUAAUAGAUAUGAAAGACAAGUGGAACUACUAUAUGAGCUGAUUAACUAGAGUUAAAUAUAAAAAUUUAACAAGACUCAUAAUACUAACCGUCUUUAGCGCAAAUUGGUAGAGAGCUUGAUUAUUGGCAUUUUCAAGUUUCGAAAUUUAAUUAUUUUAUACUUUUUUUUCAUAGAAUGAAAGAUUGAUUAUUAUCAUAUUGUCCAAAAACUAAUAUAUUCAAUAUGAGUCAAGUCUGCAAUAAUAUUGAUAACCAUAAAAAGAAUAAAAUAAAAAAAUUACCGCUAUCUAGUACAGAUAGUACAUACGUAUUCUGAAUGAGUAACAACUUAGUUGAGAUUCGAUCUCCUGCAUGUGUAUUUCUUAAAUAAAGUGUUCGAACCCUGACUUUUCAGAAAAAUAAUAUAAAGACGUAUAAACUUUUUUGCUUAAAAGAAAUUUUUUUUUUUGAAAAAAAAGGAAAAGAUUAAAAGAAAUAGUAAGAAGCAAUAAGAUCAAUUUCUCUGAUUUGUUUUGUCUUUAUCUCCACAUGGGGUUUGCAUGGGCCACUGGUGCACAAGACAGAUCUUAAUAUGAACAGGUGGAGAAGAUAGAACAGCUGCUCUCUAUAUGUUUGUCUCUUUUGUGGUCCUCUAGAUUGUCCUCACAGCCUUUCUCUAUGAUGUUGUGGAUUCUUCUAUUCCAUUAGCAUUCAUGGUUUAGGGAGAGAGAGAGAGAGAGAUGAUGAUGAUGAUGAUGAUGAUGAUGAUAAAGAGAGAGAGAGAGAGAGAAGAGAGGCUCUUAAUAAUGCUAAGACAGUAAAAGAUUAGGCUAGUCAAGAAUUUAAGUGCUCAUCGGCACGGGCUGUAUCCACUAUAUCGCAUCGUCCCCGCAACAUAUAGAAACGACACAGCUCCCAUACCGAUGGCACAACUAGAAACCCUCUUUCUUAAAAAUUUAGUAAGUAUUUUUUCAAUUAAAUUCAAAAAAAUUGAUAAAAAUACAUAAUAAAUAUUUCAUAUCAUUAUGUGUCGGCACACAUGCAUGUACUUUAAUUUUGUAACCGCUACACAUCGACACGAUCCGACACGCACCAUAUCAUACAAUGCCGAUAAAUUUUCGGCACGAUUCCGUGCCACGGUAUAUAAAUCCUUGCGGCUAGCAAUAUCUGAGGGUUUGGUGUUAUAGACAUGGUGGUCUUGGGUUUUGAGCCACAAUACUAUCGGUGGCUGCACACCAUCCACUUCAAGAAAGUUUACAGAAAAGCCCACAUCAUUUGUUUUAUCAAUGCCUGCCCUCAACGAUAUAGAUAUUGUACACCUGCAAUAUGUGCAGCAUUUUUGGCCCCCUUGUGGUGGUUAAUUGUUUUGUUUUUUCAGUAAAAAUCUGUUGGUUGUUGUUAAAAUGAAAAAACAAAAUGCUACCACAUCUUACAAACUCUUGUUAAUUUACGUGACAAUUUCGCCACUCAUCCGAUUUCACUCUGCUAUCUCUAGCUUCUGUACAUCGCUACUGAAGAUGUUCAUGAAACUCAAAUGGGUUCAAUAGAAGUGAGUUUACGAUGAGAAAGUGUUAAAAAAUUCUGGAUCCAAUGCAGCUCCACACACAUCAAAAAAUGCAACAUAUUUAAUAGAACUCAUUCAAUCUUAAAACUACUUAAGUGUAAUAGGUUUAAUAAGCCUACUAAAAUAUAUCAAUUAUUUAUUUCUUUACUAAUUAUUCAAUGUAAAAUUAUUCAUAUAUGAAUUUUUAGUAUAAAGCUAUGUAUCUUAGUUAUUUUGGAAAAGAGAAUAAAGAAAUGCUACCAAAAUACCACCAUAAAACUAUAUAGCAGAGAAAAGGUGAAAGAGAUUUAGUAUUAUUGUCCUCAUUUCGAUAAAACAAUUUGUGAAAUAAUCGUUGUACUCUAAAACACUUCUCCUCGCGUCUGGACUCGAGACUUUUAGAAAGGCCAAUGACGUGGACUUGAAUUAAAUAAGACAAAAUUAAUAAUGCUAAGAGUCUAGCAUAACUCGAAUUAAUUUAGAAUCUCCUAUUCUGAUACCAUGUUAAACAACUGUUGUACUCUAAAAAAUUAACUUGUUUGCAAACGAUAUUUAUAUAUUUUUAUAUUUAACAAAAUCCAUCCCGUCAUGGUGAUGGGUAUGGAGGGAGUUCAGGCGGGGGAGCUAGGUGAUGAUGUACAUCACGUUUGGGAUAGGUGGACGAUUAGGAAAGGAUUGCAUAAUAAGAGCAACAGCCUCUCGGAACUGGUUGCUUACUGGUGGAUCAUUUGGAAUGUCAGAAAUGGCCUGAUUUUUCGAAAUAUUCUACCAGAUCCGGUUUUGGCUGUACAAAGGCUUAAGCAGUUGUUAAAAUCGUGGGAAAUCCUCCUCCGACGGCACUAGUAUUAUUUUUUUCUUUUUUCUUUUUGGUCUGACGUGGUUUCUUCCGAGGCCCUAGUUGCCUCAUCUCUGUAGCCUAGUUCAUCUAUUCAAUGAAUGAAGCAAGUAAUGUGCUAUCUAUUCUCAAAAAAAAAAAAAAAAAAAAAAAAUCCAUCCCGAAUCCGGCCUAGAUAUAUGAAAGGUGGAGGCCUAGGCUUCUCUAGAAGCUGAAAAGGGAAAGUUAGAGAGGGAGAGAGAAACAAAGUAAAAGUUCCUACAAUUGAAUUGUGAUAAAGAUCAUAGUCCAUUUAUGAAUUGCUCUAGGGUGAACCAAUCAUAUAUUUUGGUUGCUUGGUGCAGUACUACAUAGCUUGUAAUGCACUUAAUUAGAUCAGGUGAUAGAUAAUUAAUAGCCACAGGGAAUGAAGACAAAAGGAAUUGUCGGCCCAGCAAUGUGUUCACAUUGCUGUUGCUGAAAGUAAAAACAAAAACAAAUAAGUUCUUAGCUUCUGCAUGUUAUUGCAAUAUGAAUACACACUCAAGCUGGAAUAGGGUUACUAUACUCUUACGAGUAUAGAGCUCUUUAUAGUUUCUACUCAUAAAUUAUUUUCAAUUAUUUAACUUCUAAAUUUACGAUCCAUAUCGUUAAAUAUGAUUUAAAUUAUUUGAAACUUCUAGAAAAUAAAUUUUGUAAAUUUUUAAAAUUAUAAUAAAAUCAAUUAAGCGGAGAUGAAAUGAAUAGUCAAAAUUGAACGAUAUCUUAAAAAUGGAUGAUUGGAUCCUUCAAUUUAAGAUCAAAUUUAUUGAUAGUAAAUAAAAUUUUUCAUCAAAAAUAUUCAUCCAGUUCUAAUUUUUUUACACCGUUAAACUAGCAAGUUUUCUGUACCGGCCGUUAAAAGUCAUUAAUUUUGAGAUCUUUUAAUCAUAAGAUAAAAAUGUCAAAAAAUUAUGAAUUUAAUUUUAAAAAAGUUUAAAUACUCUAAAUUAUGUUUAACAAUAUGAAUCGUUGAUUCAAAGUUAUAUCAUCAAAAUUAAUUUAUAAAUAUAAAAAUGAAUGUACUAAGGCGCGUUUGGUUCGCGUUAUGUAGCAUUAUAGGUUAUUUCAAUAUAACUAUGUAUUUAGACUUUCUUAAUUAGAUUACUACUAAUGCUACGUUACCACAUUUGGUUUAAUAUAGUAAUAUAAUACUGAAUUACAAUGUAUAUAAAAUUUCUAUAUUUUGUUCAUUUUAUAAAAUUCAGUAAUAGUGACAAUAAAUUAUAGUUUAUCCCAAAAUUUUCCUGAACUACAUUUGGCAAAUAAAUUUACUGUUUACAAAUAAUAUUUUUUUCUAAAUUUUAUUUUAAAAUAAUUUUAAUUUUAAUUUUUAAAUUUUUAUAUUUUAAAUUUUUAAUCUGAACAAAAAUAUAAAAUAUAAAUAUGAAAAGAAUUAAAAUUUAAAGUUUAAAAUUUUAAAUUUAAAAUAUUAAUUUAAAUUUAAACUUUAAAAUUCAAAAUUCAAAAUCUAAAUAUGAAAUUUAAAAUUUAAAAUAUAUAUUUAAAAUUUAAAUUUUAAAAUUUAAAUAGAAUUUAAAAUUUAAAAUUUAAAAUUUAAAAUUUAAAAUUUGGCAAUUCAAAAUUUUAAGUUAAAAUUUUAAAACUAAUAUUCUGAAAGAAUUUAGGACUAUUGGAGGGGUAAAUUUAUAAUUUUAUAUAGCAUAAAAGAUAAUCCGUUAUUUGUAAUACAAGAUAUACAGAUUGCAUGAACCAAAUAUAAUAAUUCUGAUAAAAUUAUCUGUAAUCCUGACAGAAUAAUUCGUACCAAACAUGUCCUUUGCAUAGUUAUCAGACUCCUCGAAAUGGUGAGUUUUUUAAAGUUGGUGGCGUCCUCCAUAAUCAAUCAAAGAGAUGGGAAUUGAAUCAUUAGAAAACAAAAUCAUUCAAUGUCUCUCUCAAUCAUUCAUCAACACAAUCACAAUCACUAUCAAACACAGUAAAGGGAAUGAGAUAGAGCAUUAUCUAUGAUGAUUACUUAAGCGUUUGGUUAGGGGAUAGGAAUAGGAAUAGGUCCUUAUCCCUCCUUUAUACCCAAACGCUAAUUUUUUAUUCGAGAAUAGUAGUUCUUGGUUAUCUCCACCAAUACCUUUAUUUUCUAUAUAAAACUACCUAAAAUUGUUUUUAUCCCUAGGAACAAUCCAAUUUUCAUCCAAACACUAUUUUUCUUAUCCCCACACUUGUACCUAUCCCUGUAAUAGCUAAUUCUUGCUUAUACCGAAACCAAACGGUACCAGGAUUCGACACAUGCACCCAAACCCCUCCAUGGACCAUGGUCCUCUAUUUUUUUUUUUUUUUGUAAGGAUAAACUUCAAAUAUCAUCCCAAUAGUUUCAUAAUUUCUCAUUUUAGUAACAUAUAGUUUAAAAUAUAUUAAUUUAGUACCUAUAGUUUAUUUUUUUCUUUUCGCCAGUCCCUUCGUUAACUUUUCGUUAAAUUAUAUACACUUCAGAUAUCCUACAUAUAGUUUAUCGAAUAUUUACUUUAGUACAUUUUAGUUUUAAUUUUGCGACUGAUUUAACGAAAAAAAUUAGUGAAAGGAAUAACAAAAAAAAAUUUAAAUCACAGGAUUCGAAAGUAAUACACUUUAAACUAUAGAAUACUAAAAUGAAAAAAAAUGAAACCACAGAGGUAGUGUUUUAAAAUUUUUAUUAUUAUUAUUUUGUUAUCUUUUAAAAUUAUUUUAGUAGUUUAGGAGCGUUACGAAAGCAACGAGGAGACUUACACGUGUUUUCCUAACCCCUCCAUUAUCUCCAUUAUUAUUUUAUUAUUUUUAUUAUUUUAUUUUAAAAAUUAAUAAAAGAAUUUGUUUAUAAAUAUUUUUUUUUUUUUCACUUUCUCCAAAAAUAUAUAUUUUAUUUUUUUACAAAUUUAAGUUGUACACUGAGCUCCCUCUGUGACAAUUACGUCAUUAUUUUGUCUAUUGAUUAUAAUUUAUACUAAAAAUAUUCUUAAAAUUGACAAUAAUAUAAUAAAAAAUUAUUUUUUUAAAUAAGUAAGAAUAAUUUGAUUAUUUAACCCUUUCCACUAAUGUUAUAAUUUUCUCAAAAUAUUUUUGACUUCCGAUGAGAUAUAAUACACAAAUUUUUGAAAGUCGAAAAAAAAAGUCAAAAAAUGAAUAUUUAAGUGACAAUUUUCUAUAUUUUAGUUUUAUUUAAAAUAUUUUAAGUUUCUAUAAUAAUUGUUCGGCUCGAUGAGCUCAAGAUCAAUCAAUUAGUUCAAUAAACGAGCCGAAUACGAGCUAAAUUUUUCAGCUCAAAAUCUUAACGAGUCGAGCAAUAACUAGGGUGAACUCGCUCUUGUUCACUUCGACAUAACUCGAAUAUAUAUUAUAAAGAAUUUUAAGCCGACUCAAAUAUUUAAAAAAAAGCUAUAUUUUCUAAAUUUUAGUUAUUAGAUUAAGAUUCUAAUUUUCUAAUUUUAUUUUAACUUUUCACCCAGCCGUAAGGCUAAUAGUCUAACUUACUGUUGGCGAGCCAGUUUAUGUUCCCCUCAUUAAUAAACGAGCUAAAUACGAGCUGAAUUUUUUCGCUCGAUAUUUUAUCUAGUCAAUUUGUGUUCGGCUUAUUAAUAAAUGAGCCGAAUAUAAAUUAAAUUUUUCAGCUCGAUAUUUUAACGAGUCAAUUCGUGUUCGGAUCGUUUAAUAAACGAACGAACACGAGCCGGCUCAAGCUCACUCAUAUCCAAUCCGUUGACAACCUAAUCGCUCUUGCCGUUCACUAGUUUAGAAAUGAAAAUGGGCCUCAUGUGGGCCUACAAAAGGAGAAAUUCAGUUAUCGGGCCGGCCCAUUUGCAUUCCUCCCCCUCCAAAUGUGUCAGCUCCAUGCAUAAUAAUACAAUUUAAUUUUUAAAAAGAAAGAGUGCAAAGAUACCAUUUAAAUGGUACAAUAUUCUAUCAUAAUAAUAUUUUAUACAAAUAGUAUAAUAUAUACACCGUUUGUACAAAUAUAUUAUAAUAUAUUAUAUUAUUUGUGUGUAAUAUACUAUAUUAUUCGCAAUUUAGUAUAAAAAUUAUGCAACAUUUAUAUAAAAUGUGCAAAUGUUGCACUAUUUGCAAAAAUAUUACACUAAUAAUUGGAAGGAAAUGUUGCACUAUUUGAAAGGAUGUUGCACUAUUUAACCGAUAUUUCAUUUUUUCUUUUUUUUUUAUUAUUUGAAUUCUUUUCUUUAUAUGUUACAUGAGAAUUCUGUUUCCAAGAAAAAGAUAGCUGUAAUAAUAACUUGUCAGUUGUAUUUUUCAAUAAAUUAAAUGCAUGUACUUUUUAUGCAUUUUGAAAGAAUGUUAGUUUGGUCUUUUUUAAAAAAAAUCGGACCAAAUCGGCAAAAUCCCAAAAGACGUUCUACUUUUGCAAAAUCUCGAAACUAGUGGAUUUUUUAUGCAAAUUGGCCCUUUUUUAUGUGAAUUUGAAGGUUUUUGUUAAUAUUCUACAUUUGCUGCAUCUAAUUGUAAUGGUUACACUAGUGAAAUACCCGCGCGAUGCUGCGGAUUUAAAAAUUUUUUUAAUAAAUUUUAGCUUUUUAUAUUUUUAAAUAAUUUUAUAAGUCUAAUUAUUAAUUAAAUAAAAAUUAUAUAAAAAUAAUUUAAUAGUUAAUUUUAUUUAAAUAAAAUUUAUUAAAACGACAACUUAUUUUAUAAAGAUUUAUGCGAAAAAUGAUUUGUGAUAAAUAUAUCAAAAUAAUUUAAAAAAAAUAAAUAGAAGGGAGAUAAAAUAAUGGAAGAAUUUGUUUAAUAAAAUUAAUUAUAUNAAUUCUAGAGAAGUACAGAAAACCUACAAAAUUUUAUGACAAUAAAUUUUUAUAAACAUUGUUCGCGAGCCGGCUCGUGUUCGGGUCGAUGAGCUCAAGAUCAAUCAAUUAGUUCAAUAAACGAGCCGAAUACGAGCUAAAUUUUUCAGCUCAAAAUCUUAACGAGUCGAGCAAUAACUAGGGUGAACUGGCUCUUGUUCACUUCGACAUAACUCGAAUAUAUAUUAUAAAGAAUUUUAAGCCGGCUCAAAUAUUAAAAAAAGGGAAAACUUCAAAACCCCCCCUGUGGUUUCAUCAUUUAUUACUUUAGUACCCUGUGGUUUAAAGUGUAUCAAGUUAGUACCCUGUGGUUUCUUACUUUAUCACUUUAGUACUCUGUGGUUUAAAAUGUAUCAAGUUAGUACCCUGUGGUUUUGCACUUUAUCACUUUAGUACCCUAUGGUUUUAAUUUUGUAUCAAGUUAGUACCCUGUGGUUUUUAAACCACAGGAUACUAAAGUGAUAAAGUGUAAAACCACAGGGUACUAACUUAGUACACUUUAAACCACAGGGUACUAAAGUGAUAAAGUGAUAAACCACGGGGUACUAAUUUGAUAUAUUUUAAACCACAGGGUACUAAAGUGAUAAAGUGAUAAACCACGGGGUACUAAUUUGAUAUAUUUUAAACCACAGGGUACUAAAGUGAAAAAAAAAUAAAAACACAAGGGGGGUUUUUGAAGUUUUCCCUUAAAAAAAACCUAUAGUUUCUAAAUUUUAGUCAUUAGAUUAAGAUUCUAAUUUUCUAAUUUUAUUUUAACUUUUCACCCAGCCGUAAGGCUAAUAGUCUAACUUACUGUUGGCAAGCCAGUUUAUGUUCCCCUCAUUAAUAAACGAGCUGAAUUUUUUCGCUCAAUAUUUUGUCGAGUCAGUUUGUGUUCGGCUUAUUAAUAAAUGAGCCGAAUAUAAACUGAAUUUUUCAGCUCGAGUCAAUUUGUGUUCGGAUCGUUUAAUAAACGAACGAACACGAGCCGGCUCAAGCUCACUCAUAUCCAAUCCGUUGACAGCCUAACCGCUCUUGCCGUUCACUAGUUUAGAAAUGAAUAUGGGUCUCAUGUGGGCCUACGAAGGGAGAAAUUCAGUUAUCGGGCCGGCCCAUUUGCAUUCCUCUCCCUCCAAAUGUGUUAGCUCGAUGUAUAAUAAUACAAUUUAGUUUUAAAAAAAAAAGAGUGCAAAGAUACCAUCUAAAUGGUACAAUAUUCUAUCAUAAUAAUAUUUUAUACAAAUAGUAUAAUAUAUACACCGUUUGUACAAAUAUAUUAUAAUAUAUUAUAUUAUUUGUGUGUAAUAUACUAUAUUAUUCGCAAUUUAGUAUAAAAAUUAUGCAACAUUUAUAUAAAAUGUGCAAAUGUUGCACUAUUUGCAAAAAUAGUACACUAAUAAUUGGAAGGAAAUGUUGCACUAUUUGAAAGGAUGUUGCACUAUUUAACCGAUAUUUCAUUUUUUCUUUUUUUUUUAUUAUUUGAAUUCUUUUCUUUAUAUGUUACAUGAGAAUUCUGUUUCCAAGAAAAAGAUAGCUGUAAUAAUAACUUGUCAGUUGUAUUUUUCAAUAAAUUUAAUGCAUGUACUUUUUAUGCAUUUUGAAAGAAUGUUAGUUUGGUCUUUUUUAAAAAAAAUCGGACCAAAUCGGCAAAAUCCCAAAAGACGUUCUACUUUUGCAAAAUCUCGAAACUAGUGGAUUUUUUAUGCAAAUUGGCCUUUUUUUUAAUGUGAAUUUGAAGGUUUUUUUUAAUAUUCUACAUUUGCUGCAUCUAAUUGUAAUGGUUACAUGUGCUUUUUAGUAUGACCAUGUUGGUUACUAACUUUCAAUGGUUUAUGGUUAUAGGGAUGCAAACGGAAUGGAUUUGUGUCCCGACUAUCAAAAUUCUACCUGAAUUCAUAACAGGUGAACAAUAAACCACCUCCCACCAGCGUCUUGAAUCCGCCCCAUCAACUAAUACUAUUUUUACAAAUUAUAAUACUUUUAACAUUUUAUAAAUAUAAAUCAUUAAAUUUUUUUAACAGUAAUAAAUAAUAUUAUCAAAUUAUAUAUAUAUAACUAAUAACAUCAUAUAUAAAAAUUAAAAAUAUCAAUCACAAUUUGCAAUAUAAUUUAAAAUUUUCAAAUAUAUGAGAAAUGAAAGCACCAACUCAUUUGUAUUUGGACCAUUUUGUGAAUAUAUUAUUUUUUAAGAGUAUUUUCUUAAAAUAUAAACAAUUUUCGGGACAAGUCAUGACUUGGCGGAUUCGGAGCGAGUUAAAAUUUUUUGGUUUCCUGCCCUGAAUCCUUCUUUGAAUUAUAAAAAUCAUCUCGUUUUAUGCCUCGAAUUCGUUUAUUUUAUUUCAUUUACUAUCCCAUUCCAGCGGAUCGGGGCGGGAGCUCCGCCAAUCCGGAUCCAUUUGCAUCCCUACCAAUUUCUUUUUAUUUUAUUUUAUUUUUUAUUUUUUUAUUUUAUUUUACUUUUUGUGGUGGGGUUGGGUUCUCACACAGUGUUCUCUUUGGCACACUGCAGGAAAUUGAAUACACAAGAAGAUGUUUGCAUCUUGUCCCUUUUGUCACACAAGUGUUCUCUCCAGUGAGUUGGAAUGGUACCAGUUACCUCUGCAUCUUGUGGAUUUGAUUAUGUUUUUACAACUGUGUAAUUGAUUCUUUUUUUUCUCUGUUUUUUUGUUGUUGUUGUUGUUGUUUUUUUUUUUUUUUUUUUUUUCCUGAAUCAUAUUUAGGCAUGCAAAUAAUCAUUUUGUGGAGGAUGAGCUUCAAAAAGACAGGGAAUUGGCUCAGCAAAUUAUGGUAGAUUUUUUUUUUCUUGUUAUGUAGAUGAUUUAUCUACAUUCUACGCAUUUAUCAUUGAUAAUUAUUACUUGUUUUUAGUAAUUUUGGCUCUUUUUUGAUCUUAGAGUCAAGGGGCUAUGACCAUGUAACUCAUAAAUUAAUCCGAGGAGUUUAGUUUUGUGAAUAUUGGGCUAUUUGGGGAUUUUUGUUUUGCGAAAUUAGGGCUAAAAUUUGCUUGCUUUUUACAAUUUAGUGUGUUCUACUUAACCAUGUUUGGAGAUUCAUGUUGUGUGUUUUCGCACUAAUUUUGAUUAUUCAAGUAUAAUGCAUUAGUUUGUAGUCCUGUGUAUUUCCUUUUAACUCAGUUUGUUUAAUCUUUUUAUCGCAUAUCACGCGACAUAAUUCGAAUUUAAUCAUAGCAGGAUGCGUCGGUAGGAUACGAGGAAUCGUUUGUUGCCGAUUUUGGAGGCUCUACUGGAACCUCUACUUCGAGCAGCAGUAACAUUUCGCCUUGUUUUUUAGAUGAACAGAUAUCGAUUUUGCUCGGAUCGCAAGUUCGAAGCUCCUUCCAUGAAGUUCCAGGUGGCCUUAUGCCGCUGUUGAGAAGCUGCUUGGAUUCUGAUGGCGAAUCCUCGAGAAGUAUAAUAUCAGGCCACGUCGAUCAUUACCAGAGCGUUGAAUCGGAGGAUUCUGGUUGGGGUUGCGGAUGGAGAAACAUACAGAUGCUGAGCUCUCAUCUGUUGAGGGAGAGACGAGACGCAAAUGCCGUUCUUUUCGGUGGUUCGGGUUUCGUUCCAGAUAUUCCCUCACUUCAGAGGUGGCUUGAGAUCGCUUGGGAAAAGGGUUUUGAUGUUGUCGGUUCGAAUUCGUUUCAAAAGAAAAUAUACGGCCACAGGAAAUGGAUUGGGACUACCGAGUGCUCUACGCUAUUCCGUUCUUUCGGGCUCCGAGCAAGGGUUGUAGAUUUUGAUAGUAUAACACCUUCAGAGAGGCAAAAUAUAGGAAAUAGUAGAGGUAAAGGGGUAGCAAAACAGCUAUUCGGGCCGAUGGAUAAGUUUGUGGUGCGUAGCAAUGAGUUUUGUGACCAUGAUUUAUCUCGUAGUGAUACUAGUGGAAUUGGUCAUCAGAUUCUUGUUGAUUGGGUCUGGAACUAUUUUAUGAGCAAGACAUCUAUCAAGGUGGGAAGUUCUCGACGUGUUAUUAUCAGCGAAAAAACGUGAGUUCACGCUGAUUUGCUCUUAUUUUUGUUUGCUGAAUGGUUAAUUAUACUUCAAUCCUUGUAAUCUGAUUGCAAUUUCAUUGUUAAUCUAUUGUCUGAAAAAGAUGCCUUUUUAGCAUAACCGUUCGAGCUCAUUGAUAUGACAUAUCUGGAAUUUCAUGUUAAGAGCAAAUUCUAACAGUAAUGGUGGAUUAACAGUAAUACUUACUAUUGCUAUGUUGAACGGACUUCGGAGAUUCAACAGUUAAAAUUAAAACUCCGAGACACAAGUAAUCAAGUCAAAUUCCGUGGGCGAAAUCUGUAGUUAAUCCUACAGAUAUGCCGAUGACAAUCUGUUCGACCUAAAACUUCAUAAGGGUUUUAAAUGUGCAGGCCUUUAUACUUCCAACAUGAUGGUCAUUCGAGAACCAUUGUAGGGAUUCAGAUGCAGAAGGGAGUUCGUGGAUCCCCAGAUCGAUACUGCCUUCUGGUUUUAGACCCUGCCCAUGUAAGUUAACUGUUUUCCCUUUCUCUUCCCUUACAUGCAUUUCUCGGUAUUUAGUUCACAUUUCUAUGCUGGACAAUUCCAUUUUUAUCUUUAUAUGAAGAUUGUAGCGGUAAUCAAGCUGCGAAUUCCAUUUUUCUUUUCUAAGAUUUCCAUUUUAAGAAGUUGUAUGAUUUGUGCGAGUCUAGUUUAUGCUAGCUACAUAUUCGAUGCAAAGAUUAAGUGAAAUGACUGUUGUGCCAAGGCACAGCACGGUGGACCAAAGGGUUCAGGAAAAAAGAAAAAGACAAAAAUUUAGGAAAAAUGAAUCAAAGGAUUGGGUUGUGAUUCAUUUUGGUUUGAUUUUUCAAUUGUCUGUUCAUUUCCAGUUUAAUGUACUACCUAUCUCUCUCUCAAAAAAAAAAAAAAAAAAAAAAAAUCAAGUGAAGAAGCAUUUGAAUUUUGUUUGGUUUCAGUUUUUCACCUGCGGCAUGAAGAACAAGAGCUCUGCAGGUAGAGCUAGAAAGUAGUAAAUGCACGAAAAUAUCUACAUAGCUAUCUCCUAUAUUGAAAAUACAAAUAGAUAAACCUCGCCACUUUGUCUUUCAUGCCAUCUUGUUUCUGUUUGGUUUUCUGAAGACCGGAUUGUGUGCUUCAGUUAAACACUCUUAGCCGAACCUUCUGGAAAUGUAUAAUGUGAAUGUAUACACAAGAAAUUUGAAACUAAAGUUACUAAACUAUAUAGUAUUCACCUUAUUCACUUUUACCUGAUUUUGUUCAUCAAAAAGAUACCACUUAAUUCCUAAUGGACUAUCGUUCAUACAUAAUAAAAUGCCUUUUAGAAAAAUGAAAAUGCAAAAGCAUUUAUCACUAUAAUAUAAUUGGAGUUGAAAGAAAAGUAUGUAAGUGCUUUCACUGAACCACUCGAUUCGCGCAGAAAACAAAAGUUUUGGAAAGGUCUCUUCAGGACAAAAAUGGGUGGCAGAAAAUGAUUAAACGAGGAGUGCACACGCUGAAAAAGCCCCAAUAUCAGGUCAAAUGCAUCUCAUAAUCUUCACUAUCAGUCACCUUUUCUUGCAGUGUAUAUGACAUACUUUAUAUGGUUGCAGUUAUGUUAUGUGGAUCCUGGGAUCGCGCAUGCAGAAGAAAUGGAGCAGCUUAAGACUAUUGACAGCAUAUUAGUGAGGUUCUAGGAAUAGCCGGAGACUUUAUGAACUCUCCAAACUUCCUUGAGGUAACACUUUCAUAAUUUAGAGUAUUAAUUAUUUAUUUCUUUAGUCAUAUGUUUUUUUGCAUUAUAUAUAGUUGCUAUGGGUGCUGGAGUAGAAGUUUUUGAUUUUAUAAGGUCACGCAGGCAAAUUUAGCUGCCGAAAUUGCGCACAGACAGAUUUUGUAGGUGAUUUUUGUAUGUUACUUUGUAUAAUGUUUAAGCUAUACUCUAAUAUGGCUACUUUGUAUAAUGUUUAAGCUAUACUCUAAUAUGGCUUGGUAUGUACAUUAUGAUCUGCAUCAUUCACGAUGCUUUGAAUAUGAAAUUCAAAGUAAUCAAGAAAUGUUUGACGUCAUUAGUCCAGAAAAGCCUUUGUCAUUGUCGUCAUCAUGGAAGCUUUUUCCCCAACAAAAUGGAGAGAGGUUGUUAGGCAAUGAUGGAAGAAGGAACCAAUGGAAUUAGUUAAUUUUUUUUUGCUAUAACCGCUUGUUAAUUGGGCACAAGCUCUUUGGAAAUUGGUGCCAAAUCUUUGAUUAGCGGGAGAUCUAUAUGAUUGAGGACUUAUGAGUGAAAACAUAAUACUAAUUGGCAGGUAGAGCAAUCUGAUACUAAAGUAACUCGAGUUUGAGAUAAACUUUCUGUUUCAUUAUGAGAAGCCUUUUAUUGAUCGCAUUAUGUAUUGACGUGUAGAUCUUAAUGAAUGGUGUGGAUGAUAAAUUCAGGUAUGAUGAUAGAGUUUUUUUUCCUAAAGCUAGCAGCUUAUUGAGAAUUAUUAAUCUAUCAGCUAUGUGUAUAAACAUUCGUAUCUUACAUUCAUAUGUUUUCUAAGAUCUUGACAAAAGAUUCCAUCAAUCAUGUUAGCUCUUUUGUCGAGGGUUUUUUUUUUUUUUUUCCUCUUCCCCUUGCAACUAUAUUUUUACAGAAGAAAAUGAAAAAACCAUUUUCAGAAAGAAAAAUUGCAGUUGAAGAAUUGUUCUCCAAAAGGACGAAAAUUUUAAGACUUCCGCUCAAUUUUCAACAAAAUAAGCUAUCAGUACGGAUUUUCCAUAUCUUCAUUAUGAUUUCAUGUUGCGUAUCAUGUAUACAAACAAGUCCUGCUGUUGCAAUGUUGCUCUUGCAACAUGUGAUAUUCAUUAUCAUCUAAAUAUUCUUCCCUACAAGCUUCUAUUCUGAAUAGAACUUGGGAAGUUAACGAAUUAAUCUCUCACCGUGCUUUGCAUAUGGAAUAAUUUAGAAUAAAGUCCACUUGCUGCGACCAAGGUCGCAUGGUUACCCAUCUCAACCACCUUCCCUUUAUCCAUCACCACGAUCAUGUCCGAAUUGAUAAUUGUGGAAAGUCUAUGGGCAACUGUUAUUUGGGUCAUUUUGCUCACUGGCGCACCUUCUCUUGUUUGUUGUUUAAAGAAGAAAGAAUUCAUGACCACUCUUUCAGAUUCUCCAUCCAAUGCACUAGUCGCUUCGUCUAGCAGCAAUAUAGAAGGCCUCUUCAAUAGCGUCCUGGCGAUGGCUAUUCUUUGCUUUUGUCCUCCAGAGAGUUGGCAUCCCUUCUCGCCCACCACUGUGUCAUAACCAUUCGGCAAACUACUUAUAAAUUCAUGAAUGUUCGCCUCUCUCGAGGCUUCGACUAUUUCUGCUUCCGAAGCAGUCUCAUUCCCGUAAAUGAUAUUGUCCCUCAUCGAGGAACUAAAAAGGAUCGGUUCUUGCUGGACGAUUCCUAUCUGCUUCCUUAACCAUCUAAGAUUGUAUUUCUUUAUGUCUUUCCUGUCAAUCAAAAUGAUUCCCUUACAAGGAUCAUAAAAUCUUAACAGAAGAGCCAGAAUGGAAGACUUCCCUGCUCCACUGGGGCCAACAAGGGCCACCUUUUUUCCUUCUUCGAUAGCUAGAGUGAAACUGUCUAGUAUAACCACUGUCGGCCUUGACGGAUAGCUGAAAGUAACCGCUUUGAAUUUGAUUUUUCCUAAAAUCUUCUCUAGGUUCACAGUUUUGGGUACAUCUGGCACGAUUUUUGUUUCCCGAUCUAGUAUUUGGAAUGCUGGGGUCAGUAUGCUGAUGGCGGAGAUUACUGUAGGAAUUAAAGUCCACAACUCUGUGAUUGAGGGGACUGUCAGUGAAAAUAUCUGAUAUGAUCGAAUUCCAUCUUCAAAGGUUGCUUGUUGUUUAUCGACCAACACUGUAGUAUACCACAAAGCUACAGCAUGUGCGAUGUUCCACAAGCAAAGUGAUAUCCCUUGAAUUAUUCCGUACUUGAUGCUCUCUAUCCUAGUAAUCCUCAUUGGUUCUUUUAAUGAGUGCUUAGCUUUCUUGAGUAUAUGAUCUUCAUGGACGAAGGAUGCGACUGUUCUGAUGUUGCUUGCAGCUUCUGAUGCGAGUGACACGAGUUCUUGGUGGGCGAUAGCAGUGUCACCUGAGAAGCCUUUGGCUGAUUUAGCUUGUAUAAGACCACCGAUGAAGUGGCACGGCAUAACUGCCCAUGCUACUAGACCCAUCCUCCAGUUAACGACCAUACUUACGACAGUUGCUAUUAGAAUAGAUGAGACGCAUUGGACGAUCACAGACAUUUUGUCGGAUAUAAUGGUCUUGAUCAUGGAUGUUUCACUGACGAUAUGUGAGGUAAGACAGCCCACACUAUUCUCGGAUUUUUCAAACCAACCCACUUCAUUUCGAAGAAUCACUGCAAUAGGUAGAGCAAACCCGGUAGCAUUUUUGCUUUUUCCAAUUGUUGUCGACAAAUGUUAUCUACAUAAAGGAAUUGGUAUU
rnacentral:lncRNA from 1 species